rnacentral:lncRNA from 1 species
ACAGAUAGCCAAUUUUCUGAUUAUCACAAUGAUUUCACAUGUCAAAGGAUACGUGACAGGAACAAUUUCUAAACAUCAGGUUAAUUUCAUUGUCUAUGGUAGAUUAUUGUCAUCUAAGAAGAUAUUAUAACAAUUUUUUCCAAUGUCAGUUGAUGAUCAUAUAUCUUUCCAAGGGAUACCAAAAAUGCAAAAUAAUUUUCAUGAAUACUUCUUGUGAUAGUUUUUAGAUGCAGGAACAUCCCAAUUUUGUUGGAGGGUUUGUGGUUUCUUUCAAUUAUCAUCUUCUUCCUAAAUGAAUAAUGUUUCAACUAAAAUAAUUGAGAAAAACUGAAAUGAAAAAUAGAAAAAGUAGACGACGUUAAUAAACUUUUAAUAGUAGGGAGAUGAUAUUGAGGUGUGAAAUUACACAUGUAACCAAGACCAUAGGUUAACUAAAUUUAACAUCCUUUCAUCUACCAUGUAGCUAAUAAAAAAAUUUCCAAAUUUCCAAAUUUCCCUUCAAAUUUCACCAAGUUUCAAGAUUUAUCCAAAUUUUAUGUAAAAAAAUAAAAGAAAUGUCCAAAAUUCAUUGAAAUUGAAAUUUUCAUUUUAUCGUAGUUAUAACUACAUGUUCAAAAAGAAAAUUGCAUCAAAUGACAAAAACAUCUAGAAAAAACAGCCCAUUACACCUUUUGUUUUUCUUUUUUGCAUAUUGUGAAUUUGACAAGUAAUUAGUGAUAUUAGACGACUAUUCGAACGUUAUCAAAGGGUUAUCAAAAAGCUAUCGGACUGUUAUUAAAGGACUAUCAGUUUUAAAUUUGCUACUUUUACAAUUUGGAAAAUGUAGUGACACGAGUCUUAUUAUCAUAAUUUCUUUUGCUAUUUUUAUAAGUGCCCUUACAAAGUGAAGUACAUGUAUAUAUGCGGGACAAGAUUAGAGAACAUGAAAGGGAAAGAGACCUAAUUGAGAGAGACAAGAAACAAAGGUAAGUAUCAUAAUUCUAUUUUAUUUAUAUAUAUAUAUAUAUGUAGGUAUAUAUAUAUAGGUAUAUAUAUAUAGGUAUAUAUAUAUGUGGUUGUAUAUUGUUAAGUAGCAGCUAGUUUAGUGUUGUAAAUGCUCAGGAAGAACAGGUCCAAAUUCCAUGAGUUGUAACGCUGCCCGUUGAUUGUAAAAUACUAUAGCUGUAUAAGUCCAAAGAAAUCCACCAGAGUUUAUAGCUUCCAACACAAGCGUGAAACAUAUUUGACCGAACCUUCGUCCCUGUUCCAACCCAUUUAUUGCCCUCUGGAACUGCAGUUUGUCACCUGUAAUUUCAUUAUGCCUUUCUGUUGCAAACCUUGCAUAUCCUUGAAUUUCUGCAGAAUCAAUAUCCUUAAUUGGCACUGGAGGAACAUCAAAAUUCCUAGAACACAUUGCUAACACCUUUCCACGACAGAUAUGUAUACUUUGGAACAGACUAUGUUUAAUUGCUUUUGAAUAUAAUAUGCAUGGGAACGGGUUCCAUAUUUAUAGUGUUGGCGUUCAAUGUUCUACCAAUUGAUGUCAUCGAAUCUAAUUUUUAUGAAGUAAAUGAAGGAAUAGUAGCUAGCGAGAAGGUGUUUAGAGAAGAUAGCUUCGAAUCAAUUCCUUUUGAUAAUUAUAUUGAGCUUCCUAUUCAUUCCUUAAACUAACUCUCAAAUUUUGGCUUUUCCUUUGCAUUCUCAUCACUUUGUUACAAUUAGAAUCACUUCCAGCUCAAUAUAGGUUUCAAGGUUCUAGUUUGACAAAAAUUUAUGUCCGGUUAAUUCGAUCAAAUAAAAAAUAUAAGUUAGUUAAAUUUGUACUUAUGUCUCUAACUAGGUACUUUCUGCCCAAAAAAUUAAUAUACUUUGUAAACUUUCAAAAGUUUCAAACAAUUUAAGCUUCACACAAUUUCACUUAAAACAUACCAAAAAUAAUUAGUCAAAUAAAAAAAAUAUUUAGCUAUCAACACAUGAACUUAUCUGCUAACAAAUACCUUCGUUAAAAACAUGUAAGUCCUAACUAAAAUUUCUUGGUGCUCCCUUUAUUCUCUUCUUUCAUUUCAUCAUAGUUUAUGUACCUUAACUAAACUGCACAAUUGAUAGCAAAAACAUUUAGAAAAAUAGCUCAUGAUACCUCUUUUUUGUUUGUUAAAAAUAUAACAAAUAUAACAAGUAAUUAGUAAUAUCAUACGGCUAUCAAACGAUUAUCAGAGGACUAUCAGAGGGUUAUCUGCUUUUAAAUUUUCUACUUUCACAAUUUAGAAAAUGAAUUUUAACAAAAAUAACAAAAAAAAAAAUUAGGAUAAUAGAGUUCAUAUCGCAACCUUUUCAAAAUUUGCAACAUAGCAAAUUUAAAAGCGAUGACUAUCUGAUAGUCCUAUGAUAGUUCUUUUGUCUGAUAGCUGUCUAAUAUCACUAAUUUUGUCAUAUUCGUAAUAUGCAAAAAAAUUGUGUCAUAAAGUGUUAUUUCUUCUAAAUGUUUUUGUCAUUUAAUGCAAUUUACUUUUAGAAAAUGUAGUGACAUAGUCCUAUUAUCAUAAUUUUUUUUUUUUGCUAUUUUUGCUAACAUUCCUUUAUUUUAUAUUAAAGAAAUUUAAAAAAUUUUACAAAAAGGGGAGUAAGAGAGUAUUGAAGAAAGAUGAGAAGGAAAAAGAUGAAAAAUAGAGAAAUAACACAAUAUUAACCGUCCACGUCGUUCAUAUAACAAUAAAUGAUUUUUUUAAUAUUUUAAAAGUUUUAAGAACAUUUUUCAAAAUUUUUAAAAGUCGGAGGAUAAUAUUAAAAUACUAAUGAUUUUUUCUCCAAAACUAGGAAUUAUAAGGAUAUUUUUGAACUCAUAUUGAGAAUUUAGGACAUUACUAAAUUUUUUUUGAAAUUACAACAUUAUUCUUUAUAUAAAUGGCUAGGAAUAUUUUGUAUAAAUUAACUAGUUAUUUAGCAAGAGGGUUACUUACAUUCAAUUAAUUGAUCACACAGCAUCAAAAGAUUGUCAAACAUAAAGUGAUUGGUAAGAAUAUAUUUACAAAGCUUUGAUUAAAUAUAUUAUGCUUACAAACCUAAUUAUGAGAUCAUUAGGAAUCUUAAUAUGUAUUUUGCAGACAACUCCAAUUUUCUUUUUCAGAAUUUAAAUUUUAAAACUUACAAAUGUUAAAAUUGUUUAAUAAUACAAUAUCCAUCUAAUGUUAUAAAUUCAAUUAGAUUUUUUUUUUAAAAAAGGUAUAAAGUGAUGCAUUUUAAAUAGAUUAAAUUGUAAAUUUCAUCUUCUAAAUCAAAAGUUAGUUUAUAUGAUUUUAAAAGUUAAAAUUUUAUUCCUAUGAUUUGAUAUAACUUAAUAUAUAGUUCACAUUGUUUGUUAAAUCUUCUAAUAAGAAUUAUUUAUGAAAGUUUUAUAGUACCAAGUAAAUUUUUCAAUAGAUCAAAAGACCUUAAUUUUAAAUUUCUAACAAAAAAUUUCAAUUUACCAUAAGCAUGUUGUAAAUAAAUUAAUAAAAUUUUCUAAGUAUAAUGUAAUGUUUAGUGGCUAACUAUGUAACUUUUUAUUAAGUUAAAGACUCUGACGUGGAUUGAUGUGACUUUUAAAAUAGAUAAAUUGGAAAAAAUUUCCAUUGGCAACAUAUUAUAUGACAAUAUAGCAAUAAAAAAAAUCUUCUAUUCACACAAUAUUAAACAAAAAGUAAUUAAUUAAAAAAGAGAAAUUUCUAUAGAUAAUAAAAAAAUUAACUAUUUACAAGUUACAUAGUAUAAUAAAAAAACUUAAAUAAACUAAAAAGAAUUUGAUAGAACUUGUUAUAUUUUUUUUAAAUAGUUUCAACUUUUUUUUUUUUUUUUUAAUUUUAAUUUUUGCUAUAUUUAAAAAUAAAAGAACUUGUAAAUUCAAAAAGCUACCAUUCACCCACUUUUAAUUCCUUAUUUUCAAAUUUAUGCUUCUAAUAUUUUUCUUUAUUUAAUUAAUAUCAACAAAUGAAGAUUUGAAUUUAUUGGACUUUGAAAGAUUUGAGGAUGAUAUCUAUGUUAUAUAUAAAAGCUUGAAGGUGGAGAAACUUUUUUUCUCCCUAUUGUAUCCUUGAGUUUAGUUCAUGUUCUAAAUCAUUCUUUGGUUUUAUGGUGAAUUCAUUUUAAAUUUCUUUUGUAAUAUAAAAAAUUAUAAAAGACUCACUCUCUCGCUAAUUUUUGAAUUAAUUAUACUUAAGUUUAGUACGUACAAUGUCAAAGGUUGAAUGCAAAUGGUUUUUCAUUUACAUUUUAAAAAUUAAUUAAAAAUUAAAUAUCUUAUUAAUUCUAAUCAACAAUACAAAUUUAAAGACUUAAAAUGAAAAGAUUUUGUAACAUUUUUUCUACCAUAUAAAAAACUUUCUUGAUUUUUUUUUCAACCAAGGUUGUUAUUGAGAAAUUUGCAUCCAUCCAAUGGAUUUUGUCAUGGGACAAGAUUGACAUGUCGAUCAUUUAGCAAAAAUAUUAUACAUGCUGAAAUAGCAAUAGGUGAUCAUGCACGAAAACAAGUUUUUCUUCUACGAAUAUCAUUAAGCUCACCAAAUGAGAAUGAAUAUCCAUUCAAGUUCAAGAGAAAACAAUUUCUCCAUUCGUUAUUUAUACUUUGCAAUGACAAUUAAAGGACAAACAAUUGAAUAUAUUUUCUUGAAAAUGUGUUUUCUCAUGGACGACUUUAUGUUGCACUAUCUAGAGGAAUUUCAAUGAAGACAACAAAAGUUUGGAUCAAGCACGUAGGUGACAAUAAGUACUUUCAGAUUGGACAAAAAAAAAAAUUGUUUAUAAAGAAAUCUUUUUUUGAUAUGUUACGUCUUACAUUUAAACUCUUAUAUUUUAAUCUAAUUAUUGUAAAUAUAUUCUUUCCAUGUACAUCCACUUCUAUUUUAUUUUGAAUUCCAUACUUUUAAAUUUAGUCCAAUCUAAACAUAUGCAUCCAAUAUUUACUAUAAUCUAGAGCUACACAUUCUACGUGUCAUGCACAUAUAUCUUACUAGUAUGGUUAAAAGACUAAAUUUUUUUGGCUCGAGAAAGGAAAGUGUAAAUAUUUUUUAUUAGGGUAUAAAUCUUUUAAGUACUCCGUAGUAUUUCAACAAUAGUAAAUACUAAAUUCUUAAUCAUCUCAAAUUUGAUAUAUUUAGGAAGUUAUUUUUUUUCAUAGUGUUAAAAAUUACAUCACUACCGAUAAGAUUAGAGGUGUUUAUGGAUCAAAUACAUUGAAUAUAUCACUUUUUAGAUAUAACUAAAUAAUUUUUUGGGUUUAAGGUUUCUACAACUCAAGCAAGUAGAAACUCUUUAUUUAAUAAUGAACCCAACUUAACUAAACCAUAGAAAUAUUUAGAUUAGGUUGUUUGAGUUAUUUAUUUAAAUAUUUGUUAUAAAAAUAGGCAAAAUGCUAAUAAAUAAGUAUGGCAGAAUGAAUAGGAGAAGCUAAAAUAAAAGAAAAUAUCCAUCAAAACUUGGAAAUUUCAUAGAAUUUAUUAAAAUAUCAAAAAUAUCAAAAUUGAUCAUAUCAUCAUGGGAUAAGCACGUAUAUAACGAUAUAAACAUAGAUAUGAAUAUGGAAUAAAACUAGAGAAAAUGAAAGGAGAGAGAAUUGAUAGAGACAAGAAAUGAAGAUAUAUAUGACAAUUCCAUUUUAUUUUAUAUAUAUGGGAUAUUGUAGGGAUGUAAACGGGUUGGAUUGGAAGACCUUCUUAACCCAAUUUAUAUUUUUAGGUUGGUUGAGUUGGCACCUGGAAUUAAUUUUCCAACCUAACCCGUAAAAUGUGAGUUAAGUUAUCAGAUUGUAUUGUUCUUUUUUUCAUUCCUAAUGUUUGUAAAGUUUAAAACUGUUGUACUUAACUUGUUCAACUUUCACAAAUUCAAAUUUUCAAAAAUCUAGUUCAAACUAAUUUUCUACCGUCCAAAAGGAAAAAGGAAAAAUCCAAUGUAAAGUGUACAAUAAACAGACAUCACAAGUUCAAUAAUUAAAAGAAGUAGAAAAAAGUACAGUGUAAAGCAUACAAUAAACGAACAUUCAUCUUCUUCUCAUGCUAAGUCCGACUAGGGUGAGUUAUAAUUAAUUCUUUUCUAAUGAAGAUGUUGUUAUACUAUCAUAUUUUGUACCCAUACAAUUAUUUAGCUUUCUAUAUUAUCACGAUCGUUUAUACCCGAUAACCUCCUACACUUCUAAAUGAUCAUUUACUCUCUUACACAAAAGUUUAACUUUCAAUCUUCAAACAACCGUUUAUUUCUUACACAAAUGGUUAACUUUUCAUACAAUUGUUUACCAUACAAUCUUCUACACGAUUGUUUAGCUUUCUAUACGAUAUCGUUUAUCCUCUUAUGUGAUCGUUUAGCUAUCUACUUUCAAACAAUCAGCUAAAUUUUUUAUUCUCAAUAAAUUUUUUAAUCAAAUCAACUUUUAUUCCAAAAAUCAAAUCUUCUCUCUCUUCAUCCAAAGAACAUUUUUGCUUUACCAAAAUAAUUAUUGUUUUUUUUUUUUUCUAAACAAAUAUUCUUUGUCCGAAUUAUUAAUUAUCUUCCAAAUAUUCUUUCUCUAAAUUAUUAAUUAUCUUCCACAAUAAUUAAUUUUCCAUAAAUAGAAUUAUCUUUACUAUUUUUCAUUAUACGUACAUAUAAUUAUCAAAUCUCUAACAAAAUUUUCCCCCAUUCUAUUUAAUUAAAUAACAUCCAGAUUAUUUAAAUAAAUUCCAAUUUUCAUAAAAUCAAAUAAUUUUCAUAAUUUUACUUAAAUCUCAUAACAUAAAAUUAAAUCAAAUUCUCAACAAACACUCAAAUUCAAAUCCUCUAACUAAUUAAAUAUUCAUCCAACAAAUAUCUAAUUAAUUUCAAUGUCCACAAAAUCAAAUAAUGUUCAAAAUACACUCUCAAUAAAUUAAACAUAAUUAAACAAAACUAAGGUAAUUAUCUCUAAAAAUUAUCUUAAUUUUUCGAGCCGUUACAAUGUCACUACAUUUUCUAAAUUGCAAAAAUAACAAAUUUAAAAGUGAAUAACCCUUUGAUAGCUCUUCGACACUCAUCUGAUAUCUUUAAUUAUUUGACAUAUUCGUAAUAUGUAAAAAAUAGGUGCUAUGGACUGUUUUUUUUAAUUUUUUUUUGUCAUCUAAUGUAAUUUUCUUUUUAUAAAACUGAUCGGUUCGAAUGGGUUCUUGGUUGAACUAAGAACAAAGAAAAUCGAAUCGACUAUAACACCUCUCCCAAAAAUUGGAGAGAUUUAGUGAAAAUGUAACAACCUAACUUUCCAACUUUCCUAGUAAGUAGUAAGUUGAGGUCAUUAAUUAUUUAAAUAAGUAUAGAUUUUUUUUUAAUUUAUAAAUAUACAAGAAAAUAAUUUAAAAUUUGAGGAAAAACUUUAUAUAAUAAAAAUAAAUAAGCUAUUAAAAAUUACUAAUCAAAAUAGUUUGGGCCCAUAAAAGUAGAAAAAAAUAUUUAAAAUAGUUGAAUCGGAGUUCUGAAAUAAACCUAUGAAAAUAUAACUAUUGUAAUAUAAAUGCAGAAGAAAAAUUGAGUUCCCUGUGGACCACUUUUUAUCAUUCGCCGGCCUGUCCUUGCCUCUCCCCUUACUUGAAAAUUAAACAUUUAAGAGAGUGAGAUACUCAAUAAGAGGCCCACUAUUGUCUCACUAUGUGUCUAUUAGUCUCUCGUUAGAGUCCUGUAAUAAAGUACCACACGCUAUUAUGCUCCCAAACGCACACUAUCCAGUGGCCCCACCGGGACUGAACUGGGCUCUCGGUGGACCCGAAGGAAUCACCCUAAAGGAGUGUCAGGUUGCAAGUGAUCUUGUCGAAUCACAUCUCAACUAGCCACACAUGCAUAUAUAUAUAUAUAUAUAUAUAUAGGGGACCUCAAUGGACCCCUCGUGGUAAGACUCUAACAGGCAGACUAAUAGGACACUAUAGACUAUACAUGCUCAACAUAAUAGACUAUACAUGCUCAACAUAACACCAACAUCUUAGCUCAAACAGACAUAACUCAAAAUAACAUAUAAUCAUAUGAUAAACCAAUGGUGCUGCAUCUCGUCAAUCAUGAAAGGGUUACCGAAGUACGGUUAUCUCAAAUGGUCAUAUUACAUCUCUCUUAGUUACACCACUAAACAAUACAGAAUAUACAAGAUACACAUGCAACUUUAAAGUCGGUAAUAUAGGGGAAAUCUCUUACUUGGGGAUUUACUAAAAUACUAACUCUAUGUUUGGCGGUCAAAUUCUCAAUUACAGUUCUAAGCCUAAACACAUACACAAAAUUGGUAAAUUUGUCAACUAUCACUCAUUACUUAUUAAGUAGACAUCCAAACUUAACCAUACUUAGUCUAAGACUAAGGUUGAAUCCAACACCACCUUAAAUGAAAAAUUCACAGUCCCAAUUCCACCAAUUUCUGUUGAAUGUUCAAGCAACCAUAAAUCAACUUAUUCCAAAAAUACAAAUUUCAUCUAAGGUAACAAUAUUUUAGUUGGGUCUACCAAACCCAUACCAACUCACCAAAAUGGCUCAAAAGGUUGCAAGAGGCUAAACCUAAAAAGGGCUUGACUGGAAGAGGCUUCGACAGACGUAUGGUGAAUGCUUCAACUUCGGAGCGAACGGAGAGGGUUGCAACCGAGAUGACGGAGAUGAAGCGCUUGUGAGGGUGAUCGGAGAUGUACCGUGAAGAGGGGCAACGGUUAGGGUUUUUUUCUUUAGGAAGAAGAUAGAAUAGUAAUCUUGGCAUGCACCACAUGUGGUUUUAAAUAUACACCGUAAUAUUAAUAAUACCAUUACUCUUAUUAUUUACUUUCCCCAAAUCACUCAUCUUUUCCUUUUUCUCCUUCCAUUCCAAUUAACGUCGUCUCUCUCUUCAUUAACUAAUAUACCUAAACCCAUUCCAUCACCUUUAAUUAAUUAAUUAUUUUUUUUCCACCAACAUAGUAUACCUCUUUUAAUAAUAAUAUUAUACCAUAAUAUAACUAUCCUUAUUCAUACAUAAUCUUUUUUUCUACAAUGGACACCUAACAAUAAUUACUCAUAAUACUUCCAACUUUACACCUUUAAUUCACCAACCAACCAAUUCAAAAAUCGAAAUUUUAAUAAUGAAAUCCCAAAUGACAAAAUUAACCACGUACCUUUCCAAACACUUAACCUCCACAGUUUAAACAAUUUCACACAUAACACCCAAAAUCCGAUAUAACAAAAAAAAAAUUAACUUAAUAUUUUUGGAGUGUUACAGAAAAGAUCUAAAUCUACUACGAAAUUUUACAAAUGUCCUAAAUUAAGAUUUAUUUUCUUGAUUAGAAUUUCGUAUAUUUUUAGGACAAUUAUAACCUUAUUUAUAUUAUUAAUUAUAUCGGAUUUUUAAAAUUAAACUCAAUUUGUUUCCUUCAUUAGAUUAUAUUCCAUUUAUUAUCUAAAUACUAACAUCCUUAUUUAUGAUAUUUUGUUUCCUUAAUUAGAUUAUAUUCCAUUUAUUAUCUAAAUACUAACAUCCUUAUUUAUGAUAUUAAUUAAUGUAUAACUUUAUUGUGAAAAUUAAUUGGAAAUAGUUUAUUAAUUUAAUAUAAAAUAAUUUUUUAAUAUAGAAUUAGUGAAUAAUUAAAUAUAAUUGUGUAUCAUUAUUUUCAUCUCGUAUUGAAUUUGUGAAAUUUAUUCGGACGUCGGCAAACAAUUGUGUCUUCUUCCUCCUUUAAUUUUGUGAUUUUAUUCCAUUAACUCUGGCGUCCCCUUUUCUCUCAUUUGUAUUUCAAAAAAUUACUUUCUUUCUCCAUUUCGAUUUUUGCUACAAAAUAUACAGUUAGUUUUUUUUUCUUUCAUUUUUCGUUUCGUAAAUUAUUUCUUCUUCCAUUUCGUAGCAUAUAUUUUUCUUUAAAAAAAUUGUUAUUCUUCCGUUCCGUAGCAUAUAUUCUAUUCAUAUUCCUUCUAUUUUGUUUAAUUUUUUAUUAUUCAGUUCAUCUUCAUGUCAUUUUCGACAUAUAAUUUUUAUUAAAUGUUUCGUCAUUCGUAUAUACUAUGGUAUAUAUCACUGAAUAAUAAAUUUAUGUUUAUAAUUUGUCACAUAUAUACUACUGCAUAUAUUCAAUAAUCAUACAUAUACUUUUUUCGUGUUCUGUGAUUUUUUUCUUAUUGUAUAUAUAUACCAAUAUAUACUCAUAAUAUAUACCUAUUCAAUAUAUAUUUUUUUAAUUUCUUAUAUAUUUACUAUUGAAUAAUUCAUUUAUAUUUUGUGAUUUGUUACAUAUAUAUUACUAUUCAAUAAUACAUACACAAUUUUUUUUCUUCAUGUUUUCUGAUUUUUUCUUACUGCAUUUAUAAACCACUAUAUAAAAAGUUUAUGUAUCUGAUCAAUAUUAAAAAAAUUUGAAUUCUUACAUAUAUACUACUUCAUAAUACAUAUAUUUUAUGUGAUUUGUUACAUAUAUAUACUACUUUAUAUAUUCAAUAUACAUAAAUGAUGUUAGCUUGAAUAUACUCAAUAUACCUUAAUGUAUUUCAAAUACGAAAUAUAAAAUUCUUACUAACCUUAAAUUUUUUGUCAAUUUUUUCGAAAGAUCACUGUACUAGUCGGCCAUCAAUGUUCUUAUUCUUCACCACUUAUACUUCCUCAAUCUUCUAUUAUUCGGCGUCUUUUGUGAAGAAAAUGAAAUUAAUAUUCAACGUAUUCGAAGAAGGAAGCUUUUUUUUUUUUUUUUUUUUAAAUUUCUAAAUCGUAACCGACGUCCCUAAUUUCUCUCCUUGUCGGUCCACCUUCUAUAAACAAAUUGAUGUAAGAACCUUCCAUUCAUAAAAUAUACGUCGUAUUAUUCAAUAUAUACUAUAAUUAGGUGGAAUAAAUUGAAAAACAAUGAAAAAUGAAAGAAAAAUGGACGGAAAGAGAGAUUGGAAAGUGAGAGAGAGAUUGAGAGGGAAUAUUUUUUGAACAAAAUCACUAAAAUAAAAAUAAUUAAGGAAUUUUUUUUAUUAUGAUAUUACCAUAAUAAAAUUAAUCACUUAUCAUAUUUACAUAGAAUAGCUAAUAAAUGCAAAUAUUAAUCAUGAUCCACUUUUCUUUUUCAUUUUUCUAUUUUUUAAUAUAUUAUUAAUAAUAAAGAUGAGUAAAUUUAUCAUUUGGGCCUUAUAUUUGGAAGUGUUUAAUUAAGUAUGUGUUGGAAGUGUUAGGUAUGUUGGAAGUGUUAAGUAGAUUUAAACUUAACUUUCGUGAAAGUUGGGGGAUUGGGCAUAUAUAGCGUAUUAAUUUAGUAAGCUCAAGUAAGUUGGAGCAAUUGAGAAAAGAGAUAAUAUAAGACUAAUCAAACAUAUAUAUUUAUGUUUUAGAGCUUUUAACGAUAGAUAAGAGUUGGAUAAAACUUAGGGAUAAGUUUUUGGUUGAGUAUAGAGAGGAGUGUCCCAAUUUUUAGAGUUUGCAAAGUAUCAUGUGAAUGAUUGCAGAUGAAUAAGGUGUCCAUGCAAGAGAUGUAUGAACUCAAAUUGAGACUCAUUAGAGGGUGUAAAGUGACAUCUAUUAACCACUGUAAUUUGUUCCUAAUUUUCUUUUCUAUCAUUGGGUUUCUUUUAUUAUAAGUAUCUAAAUAUUUUUUAUUGAUUUAUGUUUUUGUUAUAUUUAACAGUUUGAAAUCUAUUGUAAUCGCUCUUUAUGUUCUUUUCAACCAUGGUGAGUUUAGAAGGUAAAGUAUGAUUUUAUUUUUCUUGUUGUUUAUUUACUGUUAAGUGUGUCUUUGUGGUUUGAAUUUUUGCAUAUGUUUGUUUGCACACAACAACUGCAAAAGAGGAGGAAGUUGACGAAGAUGUCAAAUGGAUGGUUACCCAAGAAGGAAGAUGAUGACGAUGGUAAGUUUUUUUUUUAAAAAAAUAGAAGAUAUCUCGACACACGAGAUAUAGCAUCAAGAUAUCCCUUGACAUUUUCCAGCGCACCCAAUUCAGCAUUAGGAUAUCAUCUCCCGAUAGAUUUUUCCCGACUUCAAUCCGACGCGAAGUUAUGUGUUGGAAAAUCCUUUUUCAACGUUUUUUCUAUUUCUCCUGAAGCUUUUAUGCAUCGGGAGAUCUCCAUUUUCUUGGAGUGUUUUAUAGAGGUAUAGAAAGAAUAUUUGAUGAAGAAACUAUUAGUUGUAACCUUUUUCCUUAACAAAAUGAAAUAUUGCGUAUGUUUUGUGGUGUACAAGCUCCAAUUGAAUACGUAGAAGAAACUGAGGAAUGUUUGGAUAAUAAUAUGUCGUUUAAUAGUGGAGUAUAUAUAUAGAACAAGAGAGAACAAAUAUAUUUUAGGAUUUAUUGAAUGAAGCAUGUAGUGAGCUAUACCUCGAUUGUUCUGAAUUUUCCUACCUGAAUUUUUUUGUUAAGAGAUGCAUUUUAAUUUCCCAUCUAUUAUAUAUAUCUAAUUGUACUUUUAUGUCAUUUGUAGGUUUGAAAUUAUUUCUUUUGGCAUUCGCGAGCUGAGGUUUUAAGAGAUAUGGGUGGUUUUUUUUUCUUUUAAUGUCGUCCUUUUGAACAAUUUGAACAACAAUAUUAAUUGUAAAUUUUAUUACACAGUUGUCGUAAUUGCAAUUUUUAUUAUAUAAAUUGUAAUUUUUUUUAUUAUAAUAAUUUGUUAUAUGUUUAGAUAUUUUCCUUUCGAAGCAGAAUCGAGAGCAUAUUACUCACGAGAACAAAUAAAAAUAUAAUAAAUAAUUAUCAUUAUUAUUAUAAAUAAUAAUGUAAUAAUUUAUGCUGACGCAUACUAUACGUUGGCAUAGACGUUCUUUCCAUGAUGUCGGGAAAACCUUUGCUUGACGUCACAUCGGGACAUCUUUGUUCUACGUGAGGGGGUGACAUCGGGCUUACCCCAUUGUCGACAUCGUCUGGAUGGCGUUGGAGAUAAAACCAGCCUAACGUCGUCCCUUUAGCGCGUUGGCCAAAGUUCUGUAAACCUCUUGUAGCUGACGUUCUGGUUGACGGAGAUUCCGACGUUGGGAAAACUUCGCUCGACCUUUUUCUAUUUUUCUGACGUUUUGCUACGUCGACAAUACCUAAUAUCCUUGUAAUGACGAUCUUAAAAAAAUUGUUGGGAUAUUGGUAUUGUUGGGUUUUAUGUCUUAAAACUCGUAGAUAGUAAAUAUAUUUCGUUGAUCCUUAUUAAUAAAGUGUUAUUAUUAUAAUUUCAACAAGUGUUAUCGAUUAUAUUAAUAGUUUUUUCUUAAUAACAUAAAUCCAAUAAACUAACCUCCUAAGAUGUUUGAUAAGUCUUGAGCAGUAUGUAGAGACAGACAUGGAUGAAUGUUCGAGAUACAACUUAAAGAGUCAAUAGGAUAAGAUAAGAUUGAGAUCCUUAUCCUCGUAACACUAUGGAUGUGAUUCACUUUGUAUUUGAUACAAACGCAAUGAUCCAAUGCGUUCGUGUAGGUGAUAUGCGAGUGAAGGUAUUCUACGCAAUGAGUUUGCAUAAGAUCAGACUAUGAAAUAGUAACUACUAGAUGUAACACCGUUAACUAGUUAGGUUUCUAUUUCAUUAGGAAACCUAGGUAACUUAGUCUUAAUCUUGAUUGUAUUAUGAACUCUUGUUCAUGAGAGAUUGUCCUUUGAUUUGUAUAGGUGAGAGUGGCCAGAUUAUCGACUCAAUAUGCUUAUGAUUUUGAUGACAAGAUUGAGUGGACAGCUGGAAACAUAAUCACACAAGAUGAAAUUCACUCAUCCCCGACUUUAAGUUAAGUAGAUGAGUGUUUUCUUAAAUGGUGUCUCUGAGACUUGAAUAAAGGAUCCUACUCUCUCUUAGCAUGAGAGAGGUUUCUUUUUAGUGGUUGAACCAUAAAAAAGUUGUUCAUUAGAGGAAAAUUGGUAUUUAAGGACUAGAAGUAACCAAAGAACAAAAUGGUAAUUUGACCCAACUGGUGUUAUGACCAUUUGUGAAGGACUAAUUUACUGUUAUUGGUCUAUAUCCAUGGAUAUAGAAAUAUAUUUAGAGUGAGAAGAGUUCAAGUGUGAGUCUUUAGUGAAGUGUACACACAUUUAAUCUCAUAUCGUUGUACCUUUUGAUCUGUAGUCUCAUAAGAUCCUCUGCCUAGCUCAUAAAGGGUAAUGAGAUUUAGUUGUAUCGAAUGUAAUUUGAAAUGUUCAAAUUUACUUUGAAGAUUAAUAUAAUGUAUAAUGAUACAAUAUAAUAUAAAAUUUAUAUUUUAAUUAAACUUUAUUAUGUAAAUUUAAUUUUGGAUAUUACUCAAAAAUUAAUUUAUGAGGGAAUAAAAUAGGGACGUUUUUAAAAAUAGCAAAAUAAAUUAAAAUAUCUACAAGCUAUAGCAAAAUUUUAGAUUCUAUCAAUGAUAUUCUUCUAUCACUAUAGCAUAUCAAUAACUAUUAGUGAUAAAAUUUGUCAUAGGUGGUAAAUAUUUUGUAAAAUUUAGGUUAUGAAAUAUUUGAAUGAGUUCAAAUAUUAAUUUAAUGUGAAUUAGAUUCAUAUUAAAACUAUAGAUUAAAAUUUAAUAUGCAUAUGAUACACAAUAAAACUAUAGGUUAUGAAAGAAAUUUAUGCAUUUCAAAUUUGGAUUAAAUUAAAUAUAAGAUAUUUAAUUUAAAAAUUAAUUAAUUGCAGAAUUAAUUAAUAGUUUAGUUUAAUUUGAUUUAAUUAAACUUGAUUAAAUUAAAUUAAUCAAAAUGAUGAGUUAUGCUAAAGAUAUUAAUUUAAAUAUAAUUUAAAUAAAAUAUAAUUUUAUUUAUUAUUAACUUAAUUAGUCUUAAUAUUAAUUUAAUUAAUUAUUAAAUUAAUAGGGGAACGAGGGUGGUUUUCCCACGUUUCCACAUUCUCUCAACUUCCCUAGGAGAUAUUAUUAGAGUACACAGUUAUGAUUACGUGAUUUCUGUGUACAAUCAACUCUCAAUUUUUCCCUCGAGUAAAAAAAAAUUCAUUCCAAUUUUGUUUUCCACCAACGAAAAUCUUGUUCAGAGAAUAGAGAAGUUUCCAAGUGAUAGUCUUUCCAAAGUUGGUGAUUGGCAGAUCUAGAUUCAUCAACAAGAGUAAAUUUCUUCUCAGUAAUUUGUAAUUCUAUGUAUUUUUUAAGCAUGAUUAGCAAUAAGAAACUUAGUUUCUAUAAUUGUUUUGCCAAUGCACUAGUAUUUUUAGUUCCCAAUUAAAUUGAGUUUAAGUACACAAUCAUUCAGAUCGUGUACGACUGGUCAAUUAAUCGAGUGUUGAUUGAAGCAUUUUUUUUGUAUUUUUUUUAUUGUGGAUAUGUGAAUUUUUUUUGUUUUAAAAAUUUUUCAGGGUAAGUAUUUUGCCGAUUUGUUAUACGUUUUUUUAAAAAACGGACAUUGAAUUUUUGAGGCUAUCGAAAUCGGGAAUGAAAACUUUCCACCAUGAUUAUAACCCUAAAUAACAACUUGAGAAGACUAGUAUUCUAUUGCUAAUAAAAUAAAUAUAAAAAUGGGGAUAAAAUUAGAGAAAAUCAAAGGAAAAGAGAAGAGAUAAAGAACACAAGAUAUAUAUUAAUAAUCAUUUUAUUUAUUUCAUUUCAUAUAUAUGUUUGCAUACACAACAAUUAUAUUGUUGGGUAGACAUGGCAGAUUUAGGUUUAGUUUCCAUUCUCAGGAAGAACAGCUUCAAACUCCAAGAGACGUAUUGCAGCCCGUAGAUUGAAAAUACAUUUCAUCUAACUUUGCUAUAAUUAAGUGUUGUGACUUCUCAUUUAUUAUUUUACACUGUCCUUUGUAACAACAUUCUAUGUAGUUAAAUAAUAAUGAAUACUAUUAACUCAAUCAAAUAAUAUUUUACUAAAACAAGUUCAUCAAUAAAAAUAAAAAUUUAAAACAAAUACUUCCCUAAAAAAUAUUUGCUUGAACAAUUAGAACUACUUAAAAUUCUUAAACAAAUUUAUAAUAAAUGUAUGAUGAAGAGAUUUGAACUCAAGACCUCUUGUUUAUGUGUAUCUAUGAUACCAAUUGAACUAAACUCAUGUUGACACUUUUAAACAAAUUGUGGUAAAAACUACAAGUAAAGUUACAAACUUUCUAUCUUACAGAGGAAAUCACGAUUCUCUUGUAAGAAUAAAUUCUCUUUAAUUUUUCUCAUACACACUUGCUCACUUAUUAGAUAUUUUAAGAUGGUUGACGUUUGACAACCAUGGGAAGAAAUUGUAAAACAUGAUCAGUUUUGGUUUAAUAUUUCAAAACUAGUUCACUUUUUAAAAAAUCAUUUUUUUUUCUCGGGCAAUCUCGACCAAACUUGUCCCCUAGAUUUCGUUAUUUGUUUUUUGUUCUUAUGGUAAUUGAGAAAGACAUACAUACCUCACAUGGUUGUUUUCAAGAGUAAAAUAGAUCGUGGUGUGAAUCUACUCCUUAAAACAUUCUUUUGAAACGUAAGAUUUAUAAAACACAUUUUUCAAGAGAAAUCUAAAAAAAAUUUGACAGCACCUCCCCUAAAAAUAUGAGGCAACCACACCUAAAAAAGAAGUCAUUUCCACAUCUAUAAAAUUAUAAACGGAUUUCAGAGACUACAUACAACUAAUGUGUCUCACCACAAACAUCCAGACGAAUUCAAAACUUCAAGUAGAAUUUAAGAUGCAAACUAUGUAUUACAUACAUAAGUAUUCAAACUAAUUAGGGAUCUUCCAAAACACAAGUUCAUAGUGUCUCUCUAGAUGAGACUAACCACCCCGUGAUGAAUUACAGAAGUUUAAACUAUACAUAUAAAAAAAAAAUGAAGAUCCACAAGAACGACGGGCUCAAACAAAGCUUGGUCCUGGGUUGCUACCUGGAGAGGGGGAGAAAAUAUUGAAAACAUAAGCUGAAAGAUUAGUGAGUAGCAAGUAAUUUGAUACAAAUACAUGUAAAAAUAUUCUUAAUAAAACGUGUAAAUAGGAAUCAAUAUUAAUGUAUUAAUUAAAACGUUAUAAUGACAUAAUCUCCAAUCAACCAACAAACCUGUAGCCAAUCCGAUCAUGACAAGACGUCUAAACAUACGACCAAGAGUAGCACGAACAUGAUCAAGGAAUCAUGUGGCCACAACUAGCUCACACAUAUUUAGUACCCGCCACAAUAGUAACAUCCAUCCAAUCUGACCAUGAUAACAUACUAAACAUGUGGCCCGGAAUAGCUCACACGUGAUCCAUAACCACAAGGAAAUGCCCGGCUAAACAUAGCUCACGCAUAAUUAGCAUCUACCACAGUAACAACAUGCACCCACUCCUAUGUGUAAAUAAAGUCAUCCACCAUGGGUGAAACUAAGAUCCAAGCCAUAUCUCAAUCCUUCCUCCAUAUCCUCACCUAGGCUCAGGUUCUUGGAUCUCCGAUCACGACCUUUUUCAGCCCUAGAACCCCCUGAUAACCAUAGAUGGCACUACAGAAACACAUUUAUGUAGCCUACGAGUAAAAAUCACCUUGGUACAUUGGUAUUGUGGUUCAAAAACCAACCUUCACACUCCAUUAUCAUAAACAACCAUCUAUAAUUAUGUUUCAUAUUUUUUCAAGCAAUUCAAAGCUAAAUCAGAGUUUUCUUAAUAAACAAACAAAAUGUUCUCAUCGGUAAAACCAAGGUAAAAUUUUUUCAUAUCAAAUGUUUGAAAGUAACCACACACAUAAAAAAAAAGAACUCGUUCUCACUUUUCCCACUUCAGUUUGGCUUGAGACACAGAUUUAGACCUCUCAGUUACCUUCAGAUAGAAGGACGUCAAGAGAAUGCACAUUACAUAAGUCUUAACGCCUAAUUAACUAUACUUUUAAGUGUUUUUCAUGUAGGUGACUUAAAGAAGAAAUGAAGUGAGGAUCGCGCAUUAACUCAACGAGAAGAAGUCUUGAAAUUCAUGAGACACAAGGUGAGAUGCUAGUGCAAAACUAGGAAAGAUGAUUCGUUGCCAUCAAUUUCUGAAUGGUAACUAAUAUUAUCAAACAAUAGGUACAAUACUGUGUGGAGGGCGAUGUGGAGAGGCUUUGCUCAUCGGCGUGCACAUCCUCCUCUGGUGGAUCGAGCGGCGCAUCAAUAGAUGGAGACAAGGCUGCAACGCAACACCAAAGGACGUAGUGGAGAUUUGGGAUGCGGUUUGUAGCUGUAUUGUAGCAUGAGGAAGCAACAACGGGUCUGGCAGCCGACUGACGAAAGGGAACAAGGUGGAGGAGAGGGAACAGUCCAAAGGAAGGGGAGGGGGCACGGUCGAGACCUCUUGAAGACGUUCUCGUGUUAUGUUUCUUUUAAUUGCUUCAAAUAAAAAAUACUAAUAAUAGAUAUAGACAAAAAUACCCCCACUUUCAAAAUAAACUCACUUUUUGCCCCUACCUCACUCUUUUUAACACCUCAAAAAGUCCAAGCCUUAAACCAAACUAAAUUUGUUCCAAACUUUCUUAUUAAAAUCAAUUUACCCUAUUAAAACAAUUCAACCUUAAAAGAUUGACUAUUGGAUUUAAACUUGUUUUUCAAACUUAAAAUGUUAAUAAAUAAAAGAAGAAUGGAAUGAGGGAUCACAAUCAUCACCUGAGCGAAAUGUUUAGUUAAUCCCAGAGGACAAUAAUGUCUUAAAUGAGGUAUGAGAUUUGAGUCCAUUGACUACUAACGUGUGUCCUUUAGAGCUGGAAGACGAUAUAGAUGGAUUUGUUAGUGUUGUAAAUGUAGAGUCAUCUAACAAUGACGACACAUAUGGCAUGGAGAUCAUGUCAUCAUAUUAUGAUGUUGAGGCGUAUGAAGUAUCUGAGUCGAAUGUUAGUACUCAUAUAUACUUCAAUCAUAUUGAGCACUUGAUAGACAAUCAUAUACAUAUGGCAACACAGAUUGAAUGUACAUUUUUAGAGUAUAAUGAAGUGAGAAAAGAGGACAUGUGGGUGAUAUAAACCCAGCUCGUGAAUGAUCACUCAGACUGUCUAGUGGUCAGUGACGAUGAACAACCGGUUAGUGAUAAGUGAAAGCGUAUUAAAAAAUUGAUGGAUCACACUGUUGCUGUCUCAGCUAAGUGAUAAGUUACAGGUUAUUGCAGCCUUUCAGGUAAAACAAUGGGUCAAAACACAAGAUAAAGUGACAAAAUGCAUGUGGGUGAUACAAACCCAGCUCGUGAAUGAUCACUCAGACUGUCUAGUGGUCAGUGACGAUGAACAACCGAUUAGUGAUAAGUGAAAAAGUAUUAAAAAAUUGAUGGAUCGCAUUGUUGCUGUCUAAGCUAAGUUAACCUUGAAGAUUAGAAAUACAGGUUAUUGCAGCCUUUCAGGUAAAACAAUGGAGUCAAAACGCAAGAUAAAGUGACAAAACGCAUAACCUUCAGUGCAAAAUUGUAACGUCAAGAAAAUUCACAGUACAUAAGUCUUAACGCCUGAUUAACUAUGCUUUCAAGUGUUUUUCAUGUAGGUGGCUUAAAGAAGAAAUGAAGUGAAGAUUGCACAUUAACUCAACGAGAAGAAGACUUGAAAUUCACAAGUCACAAGGUGAGAUGCUAGUACAAAACUAGGAAAGAUGAUUCGUUGCCAUCAAUUUCUGAAUGGUAACUAACAUUAUCAAACCGUAGGUACAAACUAGCACUAAGAAAACAUACCAAAACUUACUUUUGCAACCUAAUCAUUACCAAGUCAAAUAUUAAUUAAUAUAAACAUCAAGUCAGCUAAUAUAUUUCUUUUAAUGAACUAUAAUCCUUAAUUUAGACUUUAAAAUAAAUUUCAGUUACAACAUUUCAUCCACAGCUUCUUUGUUACAACUUCUUAUCCUAGCUUGCUAUUUCAAUUUUUAAUGCACCCUGUGGUAUCAUUCCUUCCGCUAUAUAAAUGUUGAAGAAGUGCAUCUUUUGUCAUAUUGUGCUAACUUGAGAGCAUUCAUUCAUUUUGAAAUCAAGGACAAAAUGACAGGACAACCGUGGAAAAAUCUCGCUUUAGCUUGUGUUUUCGUGUUGUUAACUUUUAAGGCCUAUUCAUUGCCUCUCUCGACAAAUGGAAGAUGGAUUGUUGAGGCAACAACCGGCCAACGUGUGAAGUUGAUGUGUGUAAAUUGGCCGGGACACAUGCAAGCCAUGGUGGCAGAGGGUCUUCAUCUCAGACCGCUUGACGACAUUGCAACCAUGGUGGCGAACUUGCGGUUUAAUUGUGUGCGUUUGACAUAUUCAAUUCACAUGUUCACACGCUAUGCUAAUUUGACUGUGAAGCAAUCCUUUGAGAAUUUUGAUAUGAAAGAAGCCAUAGCAGGUAUAGCCCAAAACAAUCCUACUAUAUUGAACAUGAAGGUCGUUGAGGCUUAUGAAGCAGUAGUUGAUUCACUUGGUGCACAUGGAGUUAUGGUAGUUUCUGAUAAUCAUAUAAGCCAACCAAGAUGGUGUUGUAGCAAUGACGAUGGCAAUGGCUUUUUUGGAGAUCGCUAUUUCAAUUCUCAAGAAUGGCUAGAAGGACUUAGUUUGGCAGCUCAAAGCCUAAAAAACAAACCUCAGGUCUGGUUUAUUUAUUUACUUUGUUUUCAUUAAACUACUUCUAAAAGAACUAUAAAAUAGGCUGAAGCAUAUAAUAAAAAGACAACAGAAAAAGCCUUAAUUUAACACAUUUUAGACAAUAAAUUAACUACAUCUAAAUUAUUAAAGAAGAUACAAAAAAAAACAAUUUAAUCCCUCCAAUUCAUAUAUAACACAACUCUUAAAAUAGAGGGGAAGUAUUUGUACUUCAACCUAUAAGUUAUCAUUAAUUGUUUUAUAUGACGUUUUGACAAAUUAGAUGAUAAUUUAUAUGUAAAUUUAAAGGUGGUGGCAAUGAGUUUGAGAAACGAACCACGAGGACCAAAUCAAAAUGUGGAGAUGUGGUUUCAAUAUAUGAGCCAAGGAGCUAAACUUGUUCACCAAAUUAACCCAAACGCUUUAGUAGUGGUUUCUGGACUAAGUUAUGACACCGAUCUAAGCUUCUUGAAGAAUAGGUCAAUGGGCUUCAAUUUGGACAACAAGCUUGUAUUUGAAGCUCACUUGUACUCCUUCACAAACAACAUGAGUGAUUAUUGGACGUCAAAGCCAUUGAACACGUUUUGUGCUAAUGUCAAUCAAGGAUUUGAAGACCGUGCUGGAUUUCUUGUGAGAGGACAAAACCCAAUACCUCUCUUUGUGAGUGAGUUUGGGAUCAACCAAAUGGGAGCAAAUGAAGGACAAAAUCGAUUCUUGAGUUGCUUUUUUACCUAUCUUACUGAGAAUGAUUUUGAUUGGGGCCUAUGGGCGUUGCAAGGUAGCUACUACUAUAGAGAAGGUGUGAAAAACGAUGAAGAAACCUUUGGCGUCUUAGAUGCCAAGUUUACAAAUGUCAAAAACCCGAAAUUCCUUCAGAAGUUUCAGCUUAUGCAAACCAAGCUUCAAGGUAUAUAACGUUUAAAAAGUGAUACAUACAUUUGAAUCAUGUUUUAGUUAAGAAUAAUGUUAGUCUCUAUUCAUUUUUUCUUCUCACCGAUGAAUCACACAAUUGCUCUUUAACACAGAUCCAAGCUCAAAUCUCACAACCUCAUUCAUAAUGUACCAUCCUCUUAGUGGUGAGUGCGUGCAAGUGAACAAAAAGUACCAACUAGGAGUUAGUAGCUGCAAGACAUCAAAUCGUUGGAGUCACGAACAAGAUGGCACUCCAAUUAAGUUGGUAGGAUCUAUAUUGUGUUUGCAAGCUGUAGGAGAUGGACUCCCUCCAAUUCUAUCUAAAGACUGCUCAAGCCAACAAAGUGCAUGGAAAUAUGCUUCAAAUGCUAAGCUUCAACUGGCCACUGUUGAUGAAGAAGGACAAGCCUUGUGUUUGCAAAGGGCUUCUCAUUCCCAUCAAAUUUUGACUAACAAAUGCAUGUGUCCUAAUGAUUCUGAAUGCCAAGGAGAUCCACAAAGUCAAUGGUUUACACUUGUACCAUCAAAUGUACAUCUCAAUUAAUUUAUGUACAAAAUUGUAAUUAUCUAUCUAUUUGUUACACAUCCUCCAUUUUAAUUUGAACGAGUUUAUUAUUCAAACAUUUUUCAUGAAGGCCAAAUAAGAAGUUUAAUUAGAUGUUUUUAUCCAGAGAAUUAUAUUAAACCUACUAAUAUUACUUUCAUGUUUAGAGAAUAAUAUAUUUUUUAAAAAAUGAAGUUUAAUUAUAAGUUAUAAUAUUAGUAAAAUAUUCAAUCGAAACUUGUGUACAUCAAUUUCAACAAUCUAAGCAAAAUGCCGAGUAAGAAAAAUGCACCUUGAAAGAAAAAUGUGACAUUUUUAAAAAUAGCAAAAUAAAUUAAAAUAUGUACAAGGCAUAGCAAAAUUUUGGAUUCUAUCAAUGAUAGUCUUCUAUCACUAUAGCAUAUCAAUGACUAUCAGUGAUAGAAUUUGUUAUAGGUUGUAAAUAUUUUGUAAAAUUUGCUAGUUUUGAAAAUUCCCCAAGAAAAAAAGGGUUUGAUAUGUAAGUUAUUCUCAUAUGAAACUAUAAUGUUCAUUUAAUUCUCGGGUUUAUCUUAGUCCAAACAAAAAUUAAUUUUGAAUUUUUUAAAUCAUCAAAAUUAAAUGAGUCAAGGCAUGUAUUUGGAAGAGAUCAAAGUUUGAGUCAUUCUAAUUUAUUUCAGUUAUAAAAUUUUAAUCAAAGUAAAUAACAGAAAGGAAGAAGAUAUAUAACAGUAAGCAACAAAUAACUUCUAAAUGUUCAUCAAUAUUUUACCCUAAUUGAUUACUAAAUCUACUAUAUAUAUAUAUAUAUAUAUAUAUAUAUAUAUAUAUAUAUAUAUAUAUAUAUGUACAUAAUUUUGUGUUGCUUGUUGUUAUCAUUAUAUCUUUUCAUUUUUGUUUAGAAAUUUAUCUUGUUUUGCAGCAUUACUUAUUUACGUUGUCCAAUAAAAUGAAAAAGAAAAAAAAAAGAGAAAAGAAGCCAAAGUCUUGAAGUUGGACAAACACGUCAUUACAUACAUUUGAUAGUUAUAUUUACUUAAAAAGUUUAAGUUUUACAAAUUAAUUUAGGUCAUUUAUAGUAACGAUAAUUCGUGUGUGUAUUUUGUUAGACUUUAAGAAAUAUAUUCUUAUUAUAUUGUCUUCAACUUUAAAUUGAGAUUUUUAUGUUAUAAACAUAACAAGUGUGUCAUGUCUCUAAUUCAACAAAUUAUUUAAAUUUUAUUUAAUUUGAAAGUUGAAUGAGUUUUAAAUCACUCUUGAAGAAGGACGUUAAAGAUAUGUUAUAUAAAUAGAAUGGGUAAAAAAAAAAUUCCUAACAUGAAAUAAUAUAUUUAUUCCCCAAAUAAUAACUUUAUAUAAAUAUGCAAUUGUAUGUAUGAAUCAAAUAAAACUAGAGAAACAUAGCAAGAAGUAUUAUAUAAAAUUGAAGCUUCUACCUAAGUGAAUGUUUUAAUAUCUAAUUUGAGAGAUGGAUGAAAGAAGCUCCAAAGUUUUAUCCAAGAAGAAGAAAUUACAAAAAGGAAAUUGAUUUUAUGUUGGUUGGAAUUUUGAUUGAGACUUAGCAUUAAUUUGUUAGCAAAGUUUAUCCCGAUGCAACAAAAAAAACUUGUAGACACAUAUUAUGCACUAAAUUAAGCUUCUUAGUGUAGAAAAAGGUAUGACAACUAAGUUGUAAAUUCACAACAAACUUUGAACAAAUUUCAAACUACAUAGAAGUGUGUGUAUAUAAGGCAAUGUAUGGGCUAUGUUUCUCUCAUCUCACUCGCAAUCCCAAAAGAAAGAAAAAGAAAAAGAUAUCAAUUUGACAAAAAGAUUAAGAAAAUGAGAACUUUUCUAGUCCUUCUUCUUCUAGCUUUAGUAUUUGUGUUCUCAUCUCUUUCAGCUUAUUCAUUACCAUUAUCAACACGUGGAAGGUGGAUCAUUGAUUCGCAAACAGGUCGUAGAGUGAAACUUGUGUGUGUGAAUUGGCCUUCCCACACACAGAGCAUGUUGGCAGAAGGCCUCAACCAUAGGCCAUUAAAAGACCUAGCAGACGAGGCGAUCAAGUUAAGAUUUAAUUGUGUACGACUCACAUAUGCAACUCAUAUGUUCACUCGCUAUGCAAAUAGGACGAUUGAGGAAAACUUUGAUCUUCUUGAUUUAAAACAAGCAAAAGCUGGAUUGGCUCAAUAUAAUCCUUUUGUGUUGAAUAAGACUAUUGCUGAAGCAUAUGAAGCUGUUGUUGAUGUGUUGGGGGCAAGUGGUUUAAUGGUUAUCGCUGACAAUCACAUGAGCCAACCAAGAUGGUGUUGCUCUCUCGAUGAUGGCAAUGGCUUCUUCGGAAACAACAAUUUUGACCCUCAAGAAUGGCUACAAGGGCUUAGCUUGGUUGCUCAACGCUUUCGCAACAAAUCAACGGUAUGUAAUUAAUUCACAUCACGAGAUUUUCUUAGAUUCUUAAAACUAAACUCAAACUUUUAAGAACAUGUAUAGUAUUUCAUUAAUUAACAAUUUUUUUUAAUGGCUGUUUAGGUGGUAGGAAUGAGUUUACGAAAUGAGAUACGAGGCUUUAUGGAAAAUGCAAAUGAUUGGAACAAAUAUAUAACUCAAGGGGUAACCACGAUUCAUAACAUAAAUUCGGAAGUUUUAGUCAUUGUUUCAGGGUUAAAUUAUGACAACGAUCUUCGAUGCUUAAAGGAAAAGCCUUUGAAUGUUGGCACCUUAGACAAUAAGUUGGUUUUCGAGGUACACUUAUAUUCUUUCAGUGGAGAUUCCGAGAGCAAGUUUGUAAAACAACCAUUGAACAAUAUAUGUGCAAAUAUUAUGAAUGGAUUUAUAGACCAUGCUGGGUUUGUGAUGCAAGGACCAAACCCGUUUCCAUUAUUUGUUAGUGAAUAUGGAUAUGAUCAAAGAGAAGUUAACGAUGCUGAAAACCGAUUCAUGAGUUGCUUCACAGCCCAUCUUGCACAAAGAGAUUUGGAUUGGGCAUUGUGGGCUUGGCAAGGUAGCUAUUAUUUUAGAGAAGGUCAAGCAGAGCCUGGAGAAAGUUUCGGAGUGCUCGACUCUAAUUGGACUCAAAUUAAGAACCCUAACUUUGUACAAAAGUUUCAACUAUUGCAGACCAUGUUGCACGGUAACUAUAUAAAUGAUUAUUACAAGUACAUGCAAUGAUCUAUAGUUAUAUAGUAUCAAAGUAACACUUUGUAUAACAUCUUUUUAUGAUAUAUAUGCAGAUCCAAAUUCUAAUGCAUCGUUCUCAUAUGUUAUAUAUCAUCCACAAAGUAGCCAAUGCAUCCAAGUCUCCAAUGACAACAAAGAAAUUUUCCUCACCAAUUGCUCCACCCCAACUCGAUGGAGUCAUAACAAUGAUGGCACUCCAAUUGAGAUGUCAAGCACUGGUUUAUACUUGAAGGCCAGUGGGGAAGGCCUUGAGGCAUCUCUUUCAACUGAUACCUUAAGCCAACAAAGUGUUUGGAGUGCCAUUUCAAACUCUAAACUUCAUUUGGCCACCUUCACUCAAGGUGGAAAGAGCCUUUGUUUGCAAAUGGAUAGCUCCAACUCUUCAAAAGUUGUGACCAACUCUUGCAUUUGCACCAAUGGUGAUCCAAAUUGCCUCCAAGACACCCGAAGCCAAUGGUUUGAACUCGUUGAAACCAACACAUUAUGAUUCCCUUUCUAUUUUUAAGAUUUAAACUAUGUGACAAUGCCUUGUGUAUAUGUACCAUUUCUAAUUCAAAUGUGAUUGAAUUUGUAUUUGUACGAUAUUAAAUUUAAAUGUAUAUACGACAUUGACAACUGCAUGUAUUUGCACUAAUGACGAUCAAAAUUUCUCCCCAAAGAUCCAAUCCUAAUGAUUUGAUGAACUUACUAUAACCAACACAAUGUGACUUAUCACCAUAUUUAAAAAAUUAGAUAUAUACGACAACCGUUCUUGAUCAUUCACUAUUUUUUUGGAGACAAUUUUUACUUUAAUUAUAAAAUAUUACCUCAUAAAUAUAUUAGUUUUUUUAAAACUAAAUAAUGCAUAGCUAUGCUUAUUUAAUUCGAUAUAGUGCAACACUUUUUUGUAUUUAGAUUAUUAUAAAUCAUAGUUUGAGAAUGUGUAUGAUUGUGGGGUUUAUAUAUAAAAUAUAAGUUUUAGGUUUAAAUAAAAAUGUAUGGUCCCUCUACCUUUAGCUAAAUAGUUUAGUUCUCAUACUUACAAUGAUCAUCCUAGUUAACCUAUAUUUUCAAAAUAUCAAUGAUAUAAUAAAAUGACACAAACGGUGAGAAAUCUUUCCUUUUUCCUUAAUAGCUAGAAGUUAUGGUUUUGAUGUUUAUUGUCCAUCGAGAAAUAGUUUUCUUGACGUCUGUGCACCAUCAACAAAACUAAGGCAACUUUUUCCAUCAAGAAAAUAAAAAGAUUUCUCAAUUUUUUUUACAUUUGUUCAUAUUUCUUAAACAAAAUAAGGUUAUUUUUCUUGACGUACGUGACAAUCAAGAUAAACAUUGAUUUUUCUUGAUGGUAUUUUGCCAUUACCAUCAAGAAAUUAAAAUUUGUGUGCGUCAAGAAAGACCAAAUUUGUAGUAGUGUCGCUAGGAGACAAGAGUGGUAGUUGGGGAUGAUGUGACAAGGAACGACUACUUUCUGCACUGACAUUUGGAGGCAAGGAAAAUUAUUCAGCUUAGGCAAGGACGCACGUACAACACGAGCAUUUAAUUUUCUGCCUAAAGUAUGCCUAUAAAAGAAGCCCAACUUCACUUGGAAGAGGAGAAUUAGAGGACUCCAUCUCUUAAGGAGGCCGGUGAAGGACGAGUUUUAGAGUUCUUCACCCUUUGUAAUAGUGUUCUUUCUUCCAUCCUUCCUCUGAUCAAUGUUUGAGUGAGAGCUUAGAAAGAGAUUAGAGAGAGAGAAGUCCCCUUCCCAUUUUCCCUACCUUAUAUGGGUGAUUUAUUUGCAUUUUUGGCACGCCUUUAGACAUUCCAAAAUGACACAAAGAACAUGGCAAGUCAUUUGUUUAUACUUCUUGCUUAGUUUAAAAUGCAAGUACACAUAGAUCCUAUAUUUUGUUUCUAUUUCAAAGACGUAACUUUCGAAGUUCUUAGACUUAAAAGGUAAAUUAGUUCUUAUUUUUAAUGCUAUUCACAUUUUGUUUGUAGAUUUCAAGAAGUUCAGGAUAACAAUCGAUGAGAUUUUGAGUUUGGAGUUAUCUAAGAGUGUUGUGGUGCUACUGGAGGAGGGUGAUGUCUCGGUUUCUUAUUAUUAAAUGUACUUUGUGUUUAAGAACGAUGAUCAUAACUCGUUUUGUAAUAUGAAUAAGAAUGCUGUUAACUUUAACUACUCAUAACUUCUUCAAUGCUUAAUAAAAAAUUAUGUACUUUCUAUCAAACUCUUCAUUUUGGAACCUUCUACAACUUACUCGAAGGAAUGAACAUGAGAUUCCCCACGGAUUAACACAAAAUUUGCCCAAAACAUGGUACACCAAACUCCCAUCUUCUGCUUACUUCCAAUUUUGAUCUUAAAAUUUAACCCGCUUUCCGUCAUUUUUAGCUCAUGAAUUCUUCAUAAAAAAUGUAAGAAAUUUAACAACCUUUCUAACCAUACCAAAUAGAGCUUUUAGUUCCACCUAUACAUUCUAAAAUACUCGAAAAACAAGAGGCUUCUCGGAAUUACGUGAAAAGUCCAUGAUCUGUUUUCUACUUCAACAAUCAUUCACUAAGCCUCCGAAUUUGCUCAAAAUUUAUUCACGAAACUUGUUAGUAAUUGAGUUAAAUUUCAAACGAAUUCAGCUUAUAUUUUAAUUCUUCUUGUGAAGCUCAAGCCACAAUAAAAACUAGAGAUGGUCUGUGGAAACUAUUCCAAAUGUUACCAAGAACUCAACACAAUACCCUUAAUUUCGAUGGGUAACAUCCUAAGUACCUUCUAAGUUCAAAUCAACCGUCCACCAUCAUGGGUUAAUCAAAGAUGGCACUAGAAUCUAACAGGUAUUUAAGAUUGACUCCAAUAAGUUUAGAAAUUUACCAAAGUUAUGUCAAAACACAUGAUUUUGAGUUCUCAAACGACUGGACAGUAGCUCCCAACUCCUCUAAUAUUCAAAUCAAACAUCCAAAAUGUUGUGGAAAAUGUUAAAUUUAUGUCUAAACUUAUGGGAACUCAAAAUCACCUAAAGAAAACAACCCCGAACCAUAAAAAGCUCUUUAAGAAUUGGAUAUGAAAGAAGAAUGGAGAUGGGCAAAGAUUUGCUUGGCCUCCAACGAGCAACUGUACACGACGACUAUAGGAAAGGUAUUGAAUAUAAUAACCAGCUUACGACUGUGUGGAGGGCGACGUGGCGAGGCUUUGCUCAUCGGUGUGCACAUCCUCCUCUGGUGGAUCGAGCGUUGCAUCAAUAGAUGGAGACAAGGUUGCAACGCAACACCAAAGGACGUAGUGGAGAUUUGGUGCGCGGUUUGUAGCUGUAUUGUAGCAUGAGGAAGCGACAACGGGUCUGGCAGCCGACUGACGAAAGGGAACAAGGUGGAGGAGAGGGAACAAUCCAAAGGAAGGGGAGGGGGCGCGGUCGAGACCCCUUGAAGACGUUCUCGUGUUAUGUUUCUUUUAAUUGCUUCAUAUAAAAAAUACUAAUAAUAGAUAUAGACAAAAAUACCCCCACUUUCAAAAUAAACUCACUUUUUGCCCAUACCUCGCUCUUUUUAACACCUCAAAAAGUCCAAGCCUUAAACCAAACUAAAUUUGUUCCAAACUUUCUUAUUACAAUCAAUUUACCCUAUUAAAACAAUUCAACCUUAAAAGAUUGACUAUUGGAUUUAAACUUGUUUUUCAAACUUAAAAUGUUAAUAAAUAAAAGAAGAAUGGAAUGAGGGAUCACAAUCAUCACUUGAGCGGAAUGUUUAGUUAAUCCCAGAGGACAAUAAUGUCUUAAAUGAGGUAUGAGAUUUGAGUCCAUUGACUACUAACGUGUGUCCUUUAGAGCUGGAAGACGAUAUAGAUGGAUUUGUUAGUGUUGUAAAUGUAGAGUCAUCUAACAAUGACGACACAUAUGGCAUGGAGAUCAUGUCAUCAUAUUAUGAUGUUGAGGCGUAUGAAGUAUCUGAGUCGAAUGUUAGUACUCAUAUAUACUUCAAUCAUAUUGAGCACUUGAUAGACAAUCAUAUACAUAUGGCAACACAGAUUGAAUGUACAUUUUUAGAGUAUAAUGAAGUGAGAAAAGAGGACAUGUGGGUGAUAUAAACCCAGCUCGUGAAUGAUCACUCAGACUGUCUAGUGCUCAGUGACGAUGAACAACCGGUUAGUGAUAAGUGAAAGCGUAUUAAAAAAUUGAUGGAUCACACUGUUGCUGUCUCAGCUAAGUAAACCUUGAAGAUUGAUAACUUGUAGAAAUACAGGUUAUUGCAGCCUUUCAGGUAAAACAAUGGGUCAAAACACAAGAUAAAGUGACAAAACGCAUAACCUUCAGUGCAAAAAUUGUAACGUCAAGAGAAUGCACAUUACAUAAGUCUUAACGCCUGAUUAACUAUGCUUUCAAGUGUUUUUCAUGUAGGUGGCUUAAAGAAGAAAUGAAGUGAAGAUUGCACAUUAACUCAACGAGAAGAAGACUUGAAAUUCACAAGUCACAAGGUGAGAUGCUAGUACAAAACUAGGAAAGAUGAUUCGUUGCCAUCAAUUUCUGAAUGGUAACUAACAUUAUCAAACCGUAGGUACAAACUAGCACUAAGAAAACAUACCAAAACUUACUUUUGCAACCUAAUCAUUACCAAGUCAAAUAUUAAUUAAUAUAAACAUCAAGUCAGCUAAUAUAUUUCUUUUAAUGAACUAUAAUCCUUAAUUUAGACUUUAAAAUAAAUUUCAGUUACAACAUUUCAUCCACAGCUUCUUUGUUACAACUUCUUAUCCUAGCUUGCUAUUUCAAUUUUUAAUACACCCUGUGGUAUCAUUCCUUCCGCUAUAUAAAUAUUGAAGAAGUGCAUCUUUUGUCAUAUUGUGCUAACUUGAGAGCAUUCAUUCAUUUUGAAAUCAAGGACAAAAUGACAGGACAACCGUGGAAAAAUCUCGCUUUAGCUUGUGUUUUCGUGUUGUUAACUUUUAAGGCCUAUUCAUUGCCUCUCUCGACAAAUGGAAGAUGGAUUGUUGAGGCAACAACCGGCCAACGUGUGAAGUUGAUGUGUGUAAAUUGGCCGGGACACAUGCAGGCCAUGGUGGCAGAGGGUCUUCAUCUCAGACCGCUUGACGACAUUGCAACCAUGGUGGCGAACUUGCGGUUUAAUUGUGUGCGUUUGACAUAUUCGAUUCACAUGUUCACACGCUAUGCUAAUUUGACUGUGAAGCAAUCCUUUGAGAAUUUUGAUAUGAAAGAAGCCAUAGCAGGUAUAGCCCAAAACAAUCCUACUAUAUUGAACAUGAAGGUCGUUGAGGCUUAUGAAGCAGUAGUUGAUUCACUUGGUGCACAUGGAGUUAUGGUAGUUUCUGAUAAUCAUAUAAGCCAACCAAGAUGGUGUUGUAGCAAUGACGAUGGCAAUGGCUUUUUUGGAGAUCGCUAUUUCAAUUCUCAAGAAUGGCUAGAAGGACUUAGUUUGGCAGCUCAAAGCCUAAAAAACAAACCUCAGGUCUGGUUUAUUUAUUUACUUUGUUUUCAUUAAACUACUUCUAAAAGAACUAUAAAAUAGGCUGAAGCAUAUAAUAAAAAGACAACAGAAAAAGCCUUAAUUUAACACAUUAUAGACAAUAAAUUAACUACAUCUAAAUUAUUAAGGAAGAUAAAAAAAAAAAAACAAUUUAAUCCCUCCAAUUCAUAUAUAACACAACUCUUAAAAUAGAGGGGCAGUAUUUGUACUUCAACCUAUAAGUUAUCAUUAAUUGUUUUAUAUGACGUUUUGACAAAUUAGAUGAUAAUUUAUAUGUAAAUUUAAAGGUGGUGGCAAUGAGUUUGAGAAACGAACCACGAGGACCAAAUCAAAAUGUGGAGAUGUGGUUUCAAUAUAUGAGCCAAGGAGCUAAACUUGUUCACCAAAUUAACCCAAACGCUUUAGUAGUGGUUUCUGGACUAAGUUAUGACACCGAUCUAAGCUUCUUGAAGAAUAGGUCAAUGGGCUUCAAUUUGGACAACAAGCUUGUAUUUGAAGCUCACUUGUACUCCUUCACAAACAACAUGAGUGAUUAUUGGACGUCAAAGCCAUUGAACACGUUUUGUGCUAAUGUCAAUCAAGGAUUUGAAGACCGUGCUGGAUUUCUUGUGAGAGGACAAAACCCAAUACCUCUCUUUGUGAGUGAGUUUGGGAUCAACCAAAUGGGAGCAAAUGAAGGACAAAAUCGAUUCUUGAGUUGCUUUUUUACCUAUCUUACUGAGAAUGAUUUUGAUUGGGGCCUAUGGGCGUUGCAAGGUAGCUACUACUAUAGAGAAGGUGUGAAAAACGAUGAAGAAACCUUUGGCGUCUUAGAUUCCAAGUUUACAAAUGUCAAAAACCCGAAAUUCCUUCAGAAGUUUCAGCUUAUGCAAACCAAGCUUCAAGGUAUAUAACGUUUAAAAAGUGAUACAUACAUUUGAAUCAUGUUUUAGUUAAGAAUAAUGUUAGUCUCUAUUCAUUUUUUCUUCUCACCGAUGAAUCACACAAUUGCUCUUUAACACAGAUCCAAGCUCAAAUCUCACAACCUCAUUCAUAAUGUACCAUCCUCUUAGUGGUGAGUGCGUGCGAAUGAACAAAAAGUACCAACUAGGAGUUAGUAGUUGCAAGACAUCAAAUCGUUGGAGUCACGAACAAGAUGGCACUCCAAUUAAGUUGGUAGGAUCUAUAUUGUGUUUGCAAGCUGUAGGAGAUGGACUCCCUCCAAUUCUAUCUAAAGACUGCUCAAGCCAACAAAGUGCAUGGAAAUAUGCUUCAAAUGCUAAGCUUCAACUGGCCACUGUUGAUGAAGAAGGACAAGCCUUGUGUUUGCAAAGGGCUUCUCAUUCCCAUCAAAUUUUGACUAACAAAUGCAUGUGUCCUAAUGAUUCUGAAUGCCAAGGAGAUCCACAAAGUCAAUGGUUUACACUUGUACCAUCAAAUGUACAUCUCAAUUAAUUUAUGUACAAAAUUGUAAUUAUCUAUCUAUUUGUUACACAUCCUCCAUUUUAAUUUGAACGAGUUUAUUAUUCAAACAUUUUUCAUGAAGGCCAAAUAAGAAGUUUAAUUAGAUGUUUUUAUCCAGAGAAUUAUAUUAAACCUACUAAUAUUACUUUCAUGUUUAGAGAAUAAUAUAUUUUUUAAAAAAUGAAGUUUAAUUAUAAGUUAUAAUAUUAGUAAAAUAUUCAAUCGAAACUUGUGUACAUCAAUUUCAACAAUCUAAGCAAAAUGCCGAGUAAGAAAAAUGCACCUUGAAAGAAAAAUGUGACAUUUUUAAAAAUAGCAAAAUAAAUUAAAAUAUGUACAAGGCAUAGCAAAAUUUUGGAUUCUAUCAAUGAUAGUCUUCUAUCACUAUAGCAUAUCAAUGACUAUCAGUGAUAGAAUUUGUUAUAGGUUGUAAAUAUUUUGUAAAAUUUGCUAGUUUUGAAAAUUCCCCAAGAAAAAAAGGGUUUGAUAUGUAAGUUAUUCUCAUAUGAAACUAUAAUGUUCAUUUAAUUCUCGGGUUUAUCUUAGUCCAAACAAAAAUUAAUUUUGAAUUUUUUAAAUCAUCAAAAUUAAAUGAGUCAAGGCAUGUAUUUGGAAGAGAUCAAAGUUUGAGUCAUUCUAAUUUAUUUCAGUUAUAAAAUUUUAAUCAAAGUAAAUAACAGAAAGGAAGAAGAUAUAUAACAGUAAGCAACAAAUAACUUCUAAAUGUUCAUCAAUAUUUUACCCUAAUUGAUUACUAAAUCUACUAUAUAUAUAUAUAUAUAUAUAUAUAUAUAUAUAUAUAUAUAUAUAUAUAUGUACAUAAUUUUGUGUUGCUUGUUGUUAUCAUUAUAUCUUUUCAUUUUUGUUUAGAAAUUUAUCUUGUUUUGCAGCAUUACUUAUUUACGUUGUCCAAUAAAAUGAAAAAGAAAAAAAAAAGAGAAAAGAAGCCAAAGUCUUGAAGUUGGACAAACACGUCAUUACAUACAUUUGAUAGUUAUAUUUACUUAAAAAGUUUAAGUUUUACAAAUUAAUUUAGGUCAUUUAUAGUAACGAUAAUUCGUGUGUGUAUUUUGUUAGACUUUAAGAAAUAUAUUCUUAUUAUAUUGUCUUCAACUUUAAAUUGAGAUUUUUAUGUUAUAAACAUAACAAGUGUGUCAUGUCUCUAAUUCAACAAAUUAUUUAAAUUUUAUUUAAUUUGAAAGUUGAAUGAGUUUUAAAUCACUCUUGAAGAAGGACGUUAAAGAUAUGUUAUAUAAAUAGAAUGGGUAAAAAAAAAAUUCCUAACAUGAAAUAAUAUAUUUAUUCCCCAAAUAAUAACUUUAUAUAAAUAUGCAAUUGUAUGUAUGAAUCAAAUAAAACUAGAGAAACAUAGCAAGAAGUAUUAUAUAAAAUUGAAGCUUCUACCUAAGUGAAUGUUUUAAUAUCUAAUUUGAGAGAUGGAUGAAAGAAGCUCCAAAGUUUUAUCCAAGAAGAAGAAAUUACAAAAAGGAAAUUGAUUUUAUGUUGGUUGGAAUUUUGAUUGAGACUUAGCAUUAAUUUGUUAGCAAAGUUUAUCCCGAUGCAACAAAAAAAACUUGUAGACACAUAUUAUGCACUAAAUUAAGCUUCUUAGUGUAGAAAAAGGUAUGACAACUAAGUUGUAAAUUCACAACAAACUUUGAACAAAUUUCAAACUACAUAGAAGUGUGUGUAUAUAAGGCAAUGUAUGGGCUAUGUUUCUCUCAUCUCACUCGCAAUCCCAAAAGAAAGAAAAAGAAAAAGAUAUCAAUUUGACAAAAAGAUUAAGAAAAUGAGAACUUUUCUAGUCCUUCUUCUUCUAGCUUUAGUAUUUGUGUUCUCAUCUCUUUCAGCUUAUUCAUUACCAUUAUCAACACGUGGAAGGUGGAUCAUUGAUUCGCAAACAGGUCGUAGAGUGAAACUUGUGUGUGUGAAUUGGCCUUCCCACACACAGAGCAUGUUGGCAGAAGGGCCUCAACCAUAGGCCAUUAAAAGACCUAGCAGACGAGGCGAUCAAGUUAAGAUUUAAUUGUGUACGACUCACAUAUGCAACUCAUAUGUUCACUCGCUAUGCAAAUAGGACGAUUGAGGAAAACUUUGAUCUUCUUGAUUUAAAACAAGCAAAAGCUGGAUUGGCUCAAUAUAAUCCUUUUGUGUUGAAUAAGACUAUUGCUGAAGCAUAUGAAGCUGUUGUUGAUGUGUUGGGGGCAAGUGGUUUAAUGGUUAUCGCUGACAAUCACAUGAGCCAACCAAGAUGGUGUUGCUCUCUCGAUGAUGGCAAUGGCUUCUUCGGAAACAACAAUUUUGACCCUCAAGAAUGGCUACAAGGGCUUAGCUUGGUUGCUCAACGCUUUCGCAACAAAUCAACGGUAUGUAAUUAAUUCACAUCACGAGAUUUUCUUAGAUUCUUAAAACUAAACUCAAACUUUUAAGAACAUGUAUAGUAUUUCAUUAAUUAACAAUUUUUUUUAAUGGCUGUUUAGGUGGUAGGAAUGAGUUUACGAAAUGAGAUACGAGGCUUUAUGGAAAAUGCAAAUGAUUGGAACAAAUAUAUAACUCAAGGGGUAACCACGAUUCAUAACAUAAAUUCGGAAGUUUUAGUCAUUGUUUCAGGGUUAAAUUAUGACAACGAUCUUCGAUGCUUAAAGGAAAAGCCUUUGAAUGUUGGCACCUUAGACAAUAAGUUGGUUUUCGAGGUACACUUAUAUUCUUUCAGUGGAGAUUCCGAGAGCAAGUUUGUAAAACAACCAUUGAACAAUAUAUGUGCAAAUAUUAUGAAUGGAUUUAUAGACCAUGCUGGGUUUGUGAUGCAAGGACCAAACCCGUUUCCAUUAUUUGUUAGUGAAUAUGGAUAUGAUCAAAGAGAAGUUAACGAUGCUGAAAACUGAUUCAUGAGUUGCUUCACAGCCCAUCUUGCACAAAGAGAUUUGGAUUGGGCAUUGUGGGCUUGGCAAGGUAGCUAUUAUUUUAGAGAAGGUCAAGCAGAGCCUGGAGAAAGUUUCGGAGUGCUCGACUCUAAUUGGACUCAAAUUAAGAACCCUAACUUUGUACAAAAGUUUCAACUAUUGCAGACCAUGUUGCACGGUAACUAUAUAAAUGAUUAUUACAAGUACAUGCAAUGAUCUAUAGUUAUAUAGUAUCAAAGUAACACUUUGUAUAACAUCUUUUUAUGAUAUAUAUGCAGAUCCAAAUUCUAAUGCAUCGUUCUCAUAUGUUAUAUAUCAUCCACAAAGUAGCCAAUGCAUCCAAGUCUCCAAUGACAACAAAGAAAUUUUCCUCACCAAUUGCUCCACCCCAACUCGAUGGAGUCAUAACAAUGAUGGCACUCCAAUUGAGAUGUCAAGCACUGGUUUAUACUUGAAGGCCAGUGGGGAAGGCCUUGAGGCAUCUCUUUCAACUGAUACCUUAAGCCAACAAAGUGUUUGGAGUGCCAUUUCAAACUCUAAACUUCAUUUGGCCACCUUCACUCAAGGUGGAAAGAGCCUUUGUUUGCAAAUGGAUAGCUCCAACUCUUCAAAAGUUGUGACCAACUCUUGCAUUUGCACCAAUGGUGAUCCAAAUUGCCUCCAAGACACCCGAAGCCAAUGGUUUGAACUCGUUGAAACCAACACAUUAUGAUUCCCUUUCUAUUUUUAAGAUUUAAACUAUGUGACAAUGCCUUGUGUAUAUGUACCAUUUCUAAUUCAAAUGUGAUUGAAUUUGUAUUUGUACGAUAUUAAAUUUAAAUGUAUAUACGACAUUGACAACUGCAUGUAUUUGCACUAAUGACGAUCAAAAUUUCUCCCCAAAGAUCCAAUCCUAAUGAUUUGAUGAACUUACUAUAACCAACACAAUGUGACUUAUCACCAUAUUUAAAAGAUUAGAUAUAUACGACAACCGUUCUUGAUCAUUCACUAUUUUUUUGGAGACAAUUUUUACUUUAAUUAUAAAAUAUUACCUCAUAAAUAUAUUAUUUUUUUUAAAACUAAAUAAUGCAUAGCUAUGCUUAUUUAAUUCGAUAUAGUGCAACACUUUUUUGUAUUUAGAUUAUUAUAAAUCAUAGUUUGAGAAUGUGUAUGAUUGUGGGGUUUAUAUAUAAAAUAUAAGUUUUAGGUUUAAAUAAAAAUGUAUGGUCCCUCUACCUUUAGCUAAAUAGUUUAGUUCUCAUACUUACAAUGAUCAUCCUAGUUAACCUAUAUUUUCAAAAUAUCAAUAAUAGCUAGAAGUUAAGAUUUUGUAGGGUGUUUUAAAUAUAUAUAUAUAAUAGAAUGGUAUCUUUUGUACUUUCUUUUUAAAUACGAACAUAGAAUUUAUUCGAUUUAUUUGUUUCUACUGCUCAAGAAACAGGACGUGUGACAUCUAGAAGUUUUAAAUAAAAUUUGUAAGUAAUAGUGGAAUUUAUUAUAAUGUUUUUAUAAGAUGAUCACGAGUCAAUUGCUUCAUGCACCAAAUUUUGGUGAGAUUGUGAUGAUGAUUGGCUACACUUAGUGUCUCUUAUUUCAAAGAGUUGUUGGUUCUUCGAGUUCCAUCGACUUGAAGUCUUGAUUAAUUUUUCUUAAUUAGUUUAUCUUAGAGACGUUUUGUUCUAGUUUUAUUCACAACCAUCAAAGGCCGACAUCAAGAAAAAUAGUUUUCUUGUCAAAACAUGUCAUCAAAAACAGCUUCGACAAAUUUUUAAUGUAGGAGUGGACUUCUUGUCUACAUAUACAUACAUGUGCCAGUUGAGCUAAGCUCAUAUUCUACAACUUCUACAAAUUUUAAAAACCUUAAAUUAUAAACUUUCAAUUCAACUCAUUAAAGUUGAACACAAUAAAUAAUUUAAUUUCGAUAGUGUCACUUAUUUCAAUAUAAUUAUAAUUACAACAAUUAACUUUUAAAAAAGUAAUAUUUUAUUAUUAAUGUACAGACAUUAAUAAUUAAAAAAAAAAUAGUAAAGCUUUAAGAAUAUUAUUGAUGAAUAUCGUGUUUUCUGAAUCCGUUAAAGAUGGUCCAAAUUUUGUGCUUCUUAGUAAAUAGUUUUUUCUUUUUGGGUAAUACCCAUCAAGAUAUCAUUUUUCUAUAGGUCUUGUCCAUGAUCUUAUCAUAAACCCAAAAUUGUAAAUUGCCCAUCAAGAUAUCAUUUUUCUUGAUGGACCUUGUCCACGAUUUUUUUUUUUUUUUUUUUUUUUUUUUGUCUUUGUUCAUCAAGCAAACCCUAGACACAUCAUGAAGAUUCUAAACCCAUCAAAAAUCCAAAACAAAUAUAUAUAUUUUUUUUUUUUAUGAUGACCCUUGCAAAUCAAGAAAACUAAUUUCUGGUGGGUCUCGUCCAUCAAGAAAACCUAUCUAACUUGAUGGACACUCCUAGUCAACUAAUAUAUUGUCUUUGAUGUUUAUUGUCUAUUGAGAAAUAGUUUUUUUAACGUCUGUGCACCAUCAACAAAACUAAGGCAACUUUUUCCAUCAAGAAAAUAAAAGAAUUCCACGUUUUUUUAAGUUCUUUUCAUAUUUCUUAAACAAGAUAAGGAAAAUUUUCUUAACGUACUUUACCGUCAAGAUAAACAUUGUAUCAAGAAAAAUAUUUUUCUUAAUGGUCAUUUGUCAUUACCACCAAGAAAUUAAAAUUUGUGUGCGUCAAGAAAGACUAAAUUUGUAGUAGUGUCGCUAGGAGACAAGAGUGAUAGUUGGGGAUGAUGUGACAAGGAACAACUACUUUCUGCACCGAUAUUUGGAGGCAAGGAAAAUUAUUCAGCUUAGACAAGGACGGACAUACAACAUGAGCAUUUAAUUUUCUGCAUAAAGUAUGCCUAUAAAAGAAGCCCAACUUUACUUGGAAGAGGAGAAUUAGAGGACUCCAUCUCUUAAGGAGGUUGGUGAAGGACGAGUUUUAGAGUUCUUCACCAUUGUAACAGUGUUCUUUCUUCCAUCCUUCCUCUGAUCAAUGUUUGAGUGAGUGCUUUGAGAGAGAGAAGUCCCCUUACCAUUUUUCCUACCUUAUGGGUGAUUUAUUUGCAUUUUUGGCAUGCCUUUAGACAUUCCAAAAUGACAAAAAGAACAUGGCAAGUCAUUUGUUUAUACUUCUUGCUCAGUUUAAAAUGCAAGUACAUGGAGAUCCUACAUUUUUUUUCUAUUUCAAGGACAUAAUUCUCUAUUAUCAAAGUUCUUAGACUUAAAGGUUAUAUGAGUUCUUAGUUUUAAUGAUAUUCACAUUUUGUUUGUAGAUUUCAAAAAGUCAAGGAUAACAAUCGGUGAGAUUUUGAGUUUGGAGUUAUCUAAGAGUGUUAUGGUACUCUUGGAGGAGGGUGAUGUCUUUGUUUCUUAUUAUUAGAUAUACUUUGUGUUUAAGAACGAUGAUCAUAACUUAUUUUGUAAUAUGAAUAAGAAUAAUGUUAACUUCAACUACUCAUAACUUCUUCAAUGCUUAAUAAAAAAUUAUAUACUUUAUAUCAAACUCUUCAUUUUGGAACCUUCUACAACGUACUUGAAGGAAUGAAAAUGAGAUUCCUCACAGAUUAACAUAAAAUUCGUCCGAAACAUGGUAAAACAAACUCCCAUCGUGAAAGUUGGGUAAUUAGGCAUAUAUAUAGCAUAUUAAUUUAGUAAGCUCAAGUAAGUUGGAGCAAUUGAGAGAAGGGAUAAUAUAAGACUAAUCAAACAUAUAUAUUUAUGUUUUAGAGCUUUUAACGAUAGACAAUAGUUGGAUGAAACUUAGGGAUAAGUUUUUGGUUGAGUAUAGAGAAGGAGUGUCCCAAUUUUUAGAGUUUGCAAAGAAUAAUGUGAAUGAUUGCAGAUGAAUAAGGUAUCCAUGCAAGAGAUAUAUGAACUCAAAUUAAGACUCAUUAGAGGGUGUAAAGCGACAUCUAUUAACCACUAGAAUAUGCCCCUUCUAUACAGACUAAGCGUAUCAUGGAGAGCCCAUGAACUUGCACUACAUGAAAAUAAGUCUUUUUCGACGCACAACACAGACGUCGGGAUAAAAGACGUCAGAAGAAAAAACUUCACCUCACGUCGUAGAAGCUCCAUCGGUAACGGUUGACAAUUUCGACGUCGUUAUGCAUGACGUUGGGAAAAGUUUAAAAUUUUAAAAAAUAAAAAAUUUAAACUUUUUCCGACAACCGUUGUACAUUGCGUUGGGAGAAAUUUAAAAUGUUAAAAAAAUUUAAACUUUUCCAAUGUCGUUAUGCAUGGCGUCAGGAGGAGUUUAAAAAUUUUAGAAAAAAUUAAAAAAAUUUAAACUUUUCCCGAUGCCGUUAGUGAAACAUCGGGAAUCGAGGACACUUUUUCCGAUGUUGUACUUUAUGCCAUCAAAAAUAGGUGGAUCGCCCGACGUUCACGAAGUGUGUCGGGAGAUCCCCUACAUAUUUGAGUUUUGUAUUCACAUAACACAUAACUUAAAUUGAAAGGAAAAGAGGAAUAGACCACGAGAGAGAGAGAGAUAGUCAUCCGUUUGUGGUCGUUCACUCUAUUCGAUGUCGCCAUUCCCUCCGUCUUCGUGUCUUUCACAAGUUCUUGGUUAGAGGUAAUUCAAGGCUCAAAAUCAUAAAUAUAAACCCUUUGAACUUGUUCCUAAUUUCCUUUUCUAUCAUUGGGUUUCUUUUAUUCUAAGUAUCUAAAUGUUUCUUAUUGAUUUAUGUUUUUGUUAUAUUCAAUAGUUUGGAAUGUGUUGUAAUUGCUCUUUAUGUUCUUGGCAACCAUGGUGAGUUUAGAAGGUAAAGUAUGAUAUUAUUUUUCUUGUUGUUUAUUUACUGCUUAGUAUGUCUUCACGAUUUAAAUUUUUGCAUAUGUUUGUUUGCACAUAGCAGCUGCAAAAAAGGAGGAAAUGGACGACGACUACUACUACUACUACCACUACUACCACUACUACCACUACGACCACUACGACUACGACUACUACGACUACCACUACCACUACCACUACCAUUACCACUACCACUACCACUACCACUACCACUACCACUACCACUACCACUACCACUACCACUACCACUACCACUACGACGACUACUACGACUACGACUACUACGACUACUACUACUACUAUGACUACUACUACUACGAUGACGACUACGACUACUACAACUACGACCACCACCACUACGACCACCACUACGACCACGACCACCACCACUACGACCACCACCACUACUACCAUAAUAAUUUAUGCUGACGCAUAUUAUACGUUGGCAUAGACGUUCUUUCCAUGACGUCAGACAAACCUUUGCUUCAUAUCAUGUCAGGACAUCUUUGUUCUACGUAAGGAGGUGACGUCGGACUUACCCCAUUGUCGACAUCGUCUACAUGGCGUUGAAGAUAGAACCAGCCUAACAUCCUCCCUUUAGAGCGUCGGCGAAAGUUUUGUUGACGUCUUGUAGCCGACGUUCUUUCUAGUAGACGGAGAUUUUGAUGUGGGGAAAACUUCGCUCGACCUUUUUCCAUUUUUCUGACGUUUUGUUGCAUCGGCAAUACCUAAUAGCCUUGUAAUGAUGAUUUUAUAUAAAUUGUUAGGAUAUUGGUAUUGGUGGGUUUUAUGUCCUAAAACCUGUAGAUAGUAAAUAUAUUAUGUUGACCGUUAUUAAUAAAGUGUUAUUAUUUUAAUUUCAAUGUUCGAGAUACAGCUUAAAGGGUUAAUAGGAUAGGGAUAAGAUUGGGUACCUUAUCCUGGUAACACUAUGGAUAUGAUUCAUUUUGUAUUUGAUACAAACGCAAUGAUCCAACGCGUUCCUGUAGGUGAUAUGCGAGUGAAGGUAUUCUAUUCAAUGAGUUUGCAUAAGAUCGGACUAUGAAAUAGUAACUACUAGAUGUAACACCGUUAAUUAGUUAGGUUUCUAUUUCAUUAUGAAGACCUAGGUAACUUAGUCUUAAUCUUGAUUAUAUUAUAAACUCUUGUUCGCGAGGAAUUAUCCUUUGAUUUGUAUAUGUGAGAAUGGUCAGAUUGUCGACUCAAUAUGCUUAUGAUUUUAAGGACAAGAUCGAGUGGAGAGCUGGAAACAUAAUCACACAAUAUGGAAUUCACUCAUUCCCGACUUUAAAUUAAGUAGAUGAGUGUUUUCUUAAGUCGUGUCUCUGAGACUUGAAUAAAGGGCCCUACCCUCUCUUGGCAUGAGAGAGAUUUAUUUUUAGUGGUUGAACCAUAAAAAAAGUUGUUCAUUAGAGGAACAUUGAUAUUUAAGGACUAGAAGUAACUAAGGGAUAAAAUGGUAAUUUGGCCCAACUGGUGUUACGAGCAUUUGUAAAGGAAUAACAUACUAUUAUUGAUCUAUAUCCAUGGACAUAAAUAUAUUUAGAGUGAGAAGAGUUCAACUGUGAGUCUUUAGUGAAGUAUACACACAUUUAAGGAAUAUUAAUUAAUGUGGUUAAUGAGUUUAGCCAAUUAACUCACAUAUUGUUGUAGCUUCUGAUUUGUAGACUCAUAAGGUCCUCUUCCUAGCUCAUAAAGAGUAAUGAGAUUUAGUUGCAUCAGUUGUAAUUUGAAAUGUUCAAAUUUACUAUGAUACAAUAUAAUAUAAAGUUUAUAUUUUAAUUAAACUUUAUUAUGUAAAUUUAAUUUUGGAUAUGACUCAAAAAUUAAUUUAUGAGAGAAUAAAAUAAGAAAAUUUUUAAAAAUAGCAAAAUAAAUUAAAAUAUUUACAAGUUAUAGCAAAAUUUUAGAUACUAUCAAUGAUAGUCUUCUAUCACUAUAGCAUUUCAACAACUAUUAGUGAUAGAAUUUGCUAUAGGUUAUAAAUAUUUUGUAAAAUUUGUCAUUUUUGAAAAUUUUCCAGUAAAAUACUUGAAUGAGUUCAAGUAUUAAUUUAAUAUGAAUUAGGUUCAUAUUCAAACUAUGAAUUAAAAUUUAAUGUGUAUAUGAUACACAAUAAAACCAUAGGUUAUGAGAGAAAUUUAUACGUUUUAAAUUUGGAUUAAAUUAAAUAUAAGAUAUUUAAUUUAAAAACUAAUUAAUUGGAGAAUUAAUUAAUAGUUUGGUUUAAUUUGAUUUAAUUAAAUUUGAUUAAAUUAAAUUAAAACUAUGAGUUAUGGGAGAGAGAUUCAUUUAAAUAUGAUGUAAACAAAAUAUUAAUUAAAUAUAAUUUUAUUAAUUAUUGACUUAAUUAAUUAUUUAAUUAAUUUUAAUAUUACUUUAUUAAAUUAAUAGGGAACGUGGGUGUUUUUCCCGUGUUCCCACAUUCUCUUAACUUCCCUCUUUUCUAUGAGAUAUUAGGACGGUAAAUAGUUAUGAUGAUGUGAUUUCUGUGCACAAUCAACUCUCAAUUUUUCUCUCGAGUAAAAAAUAAUUCAUUCCAAUUUUGGUUUCCACCGACCAAAAUCUUGCUUAGAGAAUAGGGAGGUUUUUGAGUGGUAGUCUUUUCAAAGUUGGUGAUUGGCACAUCUAGAGUCAUCAACGAGAUUAAAUUUCUUCUCAGUAAUUUGUAUUUCUCUAUAUUUUUUAAGCAUGCUUAGCAAUAAGAAAAUUAGUUUCUAUAACUAUUUUGUCAAUGUAUUCGUAUUUUUAGUUUCCAAAUAAAUUGAGUUUAAGGUAAAAAAAUUCACUGCAUGAGCUCUUAUCCCUUCAGGUACGCAAUCAUUUAGAUUGUAUAUCAAAUCUAAAUGAAUCUUGCAUACCAAAUAUAUUACGUGCACGAUUGGUUAAUUAAUUACGCAUUAAUUAAAGCAUUUUUAGUAUUUUUUAUUGUGGAUAUGUGAACUCUUUUUCGUUUUUGAAAAUUUUGAGUGUACAUAUUUUGCCAAAUUGUUAUAUUUUUUAAAAAUCUCCAAGAAAAUAUGAAAACUUUCCCCUGCUUUAGAACUUUGAGGCUAUCAAAAUCUGGAAUGAAAAGUUUCCACCAUGAUUAAAACCCUAAAUAACAACUUGAGAAGACUAGAAUUCUAUUGCUAAUAAAAUAAGUAUAAAUAUGGGGAUAAAAUUAGAGAAAAUCAAAGGAAAAGAGAAGAGAUAAAAAACACAAGAUAUAUCAUAAUAAUCAUUUAUUUUAUUUUAUUUCAUAUAUAUGUUUGCAUACAACAAUUAUAUUGUUGAGUAGACAUAUCACAUUCAGCUUUGGUUUCCAUUCUCAUUAAGCACAGCUUCAAACUCCAAGAGACGUACUCCAGCCCGUUGAUUAAGAAAGACUUUAACUUUAUAAGUCCAAAUAAUUCCAAUAGAGUUUUUAGCUGACAGGACAAGGGUGAAGUCUAUUCGGAAACCCCUUCGUCCCUGUUCCAACCCAUUUAUCACCUUCACAAACUCCAGAUUUUCUCCCGUUGCUUCAUUAUGCUCACUCACUGCAAACUCUCCAAAUCCUCGUAUCUCUUCGCUAUCAACAUCCUUAAUUGGCACUGCUGGAUCAACCUUGGGAAUUGAAAUAUCCUCUGAACUCAUUCCUAAUACGUACGUACCCUUCUGAUAUAGAUAGAUAGAUUUAUAUAUUUUUGUAACACUGGUUUGAUUUUGGAUAAUGGGAAGGAGUUGGAUAUUUAUAGUUGUUGUUGUUGAACCUUAGACACUGUUAUCUUUGAAAUAAUCAAUGGGGUAAUAUUAUUUGCACGUGUUGGAUAACUCCAACUACAACUACAACCAAGAAAAUUAAAAAGCCUCCGACUAGUAGGAUUAUUAUAUAAUUAUUCUAUCCAAUUUUAAAUUCUACAAGAAGUUUUAUUGUCUUAAAUAAAUAAAUACCUUACGUUAGAUCUGUUGUUAUAAUUUGACUUUUCAGUUACGUCGUGUUUACUACAUUCGUGUUAUCGUAAAAUGUAGUUGUUUGAAUGAUUAAAACUACUAAGAUUUGUACAGGUUGAAUAUGGAAAACUGCAACUAGGAGUCUGCCUAAUAAUAAUAUAAAAGCAAUAGAGAUGAUUAAUGUAUAUUAUAUUAUCCUAUCUAAUUUUGAAUUCUUCAACGUUUCAUGAUGAAACUUUUUCAAAUUUAGUUUCAAUCAAUUAGACCACCAAACAUGAAAGAUAUUGAUGAAGAUAAAGUGAUGGCUAUGAAUAUAUUCCCACAGACACAUUCUUUAAAAUACUCUUUUGAAUCAUAUGUUUGAAUUGAUUUUAAACUCUCUUAAUAAAAUAGAAACUAUUUCGAGUAGUUGUGUAAUAAUAUUCAAAUUUUGUUUAAAAUGAAUUAUCUUUUAUAUAAAAUACUUUGAAAUAAAUUUCAAAUACAUCGUUUUGAUAGUCGGUAUGUCAAGAAAGAAAGAGAGAGAGAAUUUAAGUUUUUCUCUUUAUUUAUUUAUUAAUUUGGUAUUAACAUUUGAAGAUUUAAACUUUGUUGGGAAAAAAUAAAUGUGAUGAUCUGAAAGACUAUUGGGGGAUAAUAUAUGUACGCAUAAAGACAAAACAAUUUAGUUAUAAUUUAACAAUAAUAAACACCAUACAUAUAUAAGGUUAUUCUUAAUUUUAAUUAAUAUUGGUUGAAAAAUUGCACAAAUAGACAUAUAAACACUUAUUUACUAUGAAGAUUAUAUCUACUUUUCUAAGUUUUCUUUGUUGCGAUUUAAUCAAACUCAAUUUUGAUUUCAUACUAAAAUUGAUUCGAUUCUAAGCUAAAAUUGUUAGUUUGAUCCCAUAUACACAAUACUAUAACUUGAUCGGGUAUGUUUGUGUGCUCGUAUCACCAACCCUUAAACUAAUUUCAAUGUGGGAUAAAAAAUAUUCUUCUAAGUGAACUUGCUAUAGAUCAUGGGUCGUCUAGGUAGUUAUGGGACAUUGCCAAUAGGUAGUUGUAGGUUACUUAUAUCUAUCUUUAAAAAAUAUUUGGAAAAAAAUGUAUUUUUUUAUAAUAUUGUUUUUUAUUUUGUUUGCUUUUAUUAUUUUAAACGGGUUGUUUUUUAAAUUUUGUAAACUCUUAUCUUAUUUGUUUAACAUUUUUGUGGAUUAAUUACAAUCUUUAUAGUAUAUCUUUUAGCAUUAGUUUUUAAAUACAAUAAUAUAAUUAUAACAAACAAGUAUUUGUUAUUGCUUUACAACGGGUAAAGGUUGUUUUGGAUGGUAGAUGGACUGAAUAUUUAUGGUAUCUCGAUUAUCGUGUUGUUGAUGAGGUAUAUGUUCCAUUUUCAUCUUUCGUUUCCAGGAUUUGUAAAAAGUAUUCAAGGUAGACUUUUCUUGUCUUCAAAUUUUUAUGUGUCUCAUUUGACUGUUUAUUGGGAUGGCUGCAACAAUUCCAACUUCAUUCGGAUUAUCAAGGAUAAAGAUGUGUCUUGGCUUAUGUACUUAGUUUUGUCAAAAUUUCAGGAUAAUGAUUUACUUGUGGUUGUUGACUCUGUAUUGGCUGGUGCUUCUGGAAGUACAACAUAUUUGUACAAUGAAGUACCUAGAUUUCAACAUUCACAUCAUGAAACAUAAAUUAUUGACAUUGAUGUCUUUGAAUUGUUGCAUGUCGGCAUGCCUAUUGAAGUGGGAUUAAUGUUUACAAACAAAACAGUACUGAAGAAAGCUAUUUAUUUGCUUGUUGUGAACAAUAGUUUUGAACUUGUUACUAGUAGGGCCAAUCGUACCUGGUUUGAUAUUUGUUGUAAGGAUUUGUCUUGUCCUUGGUAUUUACAUGUUUCCAUAUUAGAAAAAAAAAAGUGAUAUUUGGAUAGUUUGUAAAUUCACAGAUUUCCACCAGUGCACUGCUGAGAUCGUAAAAAAUGAUCACACAGGCAAGCAACAACUUGGAUUGUUUAUGAGUGUACGAAGUUAUUUUUUAAAAUGAAUGACAAGGCUCCAUGUCGUCCUUUUGACAUUAUUAAUUAUAUGAAAAUUCAUCAUGAAGUGAAUGUAAGGCUAUGACAAGGUUUAGAGAGGGCGUACUUCGAAGGUCUCAUAUGCCAUGUUGUCAGCAUUUUUGGAUGCACUUAUCCGAAACAACCCAUGUAUACUUUAAUCACAAAUAUACUGUCAUUUUUUGUUUUGAAAAAAUUACAAUAGUACAUAGAAAUACACUGAAAUUUGUAAUUUAGGUGUAUUUGAGUCAAAUUUUAACAGUAUUUUAUUUUAUAAAUAUUGAACUAAUUUCAGUUACACUUGUUGUUCCUAAAAUUAAGGGAAUAUCUUUUAAUAUCUUCUAGUUUAAUUUAAAACAAUGAUUAAAAAACUAAAUAAUAAACAAUUUAGAUUCACAAGUGUAUAUAUAACAAUAAUGAACGUGAUUUGCGAUAAUAGGGAACGAUUUACCGUUGUUCUUUUACAUGUCACAAUCAAAAAGUAUUGGCGUGUUAUUAAGCAUCAAUUUCACUAAGCACUAGGAAAAUAGACCUUUUUUCUACCGAGGACGAAGCUGGAAUCAUUUUAAUGAAGAAGGUUUUGAAGCUCCUUCGGAAGAAACAAAAACCUGCAAAAGAUGACUGAAGGAACCCAUCAAGAAUUCGGGAAAGAAAGUGGAAAGCAAAAACUUGAAGAAGAUGAGUGAAGCCAAAAACCUGAUCAAUACUUCCCUGCCACGCGCGGAAUGUAUGAAGAGCUUGAAGGGUUUGAAGAGGACGAAGUUGAAGAUGAGUUUUAAUUGAUUUGAUUGUGUUGGUAUGAAAAAUUAGGAGAUAACUAUAAUCAUUGGUUGUUGGAGAGUUUCAGUCAAUUAUGGGGUAUUUGUGGUUUUGGUAUAAUUUUUUAUAAUGCUAAUUUUUUCACUAGAUUAGGAGCAUUUAGGACAUUUUUGCCGCCGUUUUUUUUCAAUUUUUAUGAUUUUGCUAUUGUAUCAAUUUAAAUUAAAUUUUGCUAUUUAUACACAUUAAACCUUCUAUUUUGCUAUUUUUCUAUAGUCAGUUCCAAAUUUUAAUCUAGGCCUCUAUUUUAUUAAAAGAUAUUCUCUUAAGCUCUUAUUUAUUAAAUAAGAAUAUAUUAUUUUAAUUCGAAGUCUUUAUCUCUAGAUAUUAUUUUCAAGAAAAGAUUUGUUUCCAAGAUUUUGAUUCUCCUCAUUCAACGGGUUUUGACCGAAUCUUGGCUGCUUAUAUAUGUACCAUGGUCUUUGAUGUAUUUGUGUGUGUGCAUCAAGAACAAAAUAUGGAUCAUAUUAUGGGUAGCAAUCAAGAAAGUUAUUCUCAUUUCCUAGAAUUAAUCUUGUUGAUUCCAUAUUUGAAUAAAAGUCUUAUUCUUUCGGCUUAAACAGCAAGAUCUAUUAUGAAGAAACAUUAAACCUUAAUCAGACGAUUUAUGAGAAACUUGAUCAAAGAGGAUCCUUCAACUAGAACACCUUAAUUUGCUUAUUGAUGAGAUACUGUUAGUAAGUUAAAUUCACUUAAGUACAUUCACUUAACUACAUAAUGAUGAAAUUGAGUUAUAAAUUAUGUACUUAUAAUGAUCAUAAGGAUGUUAUUUUGAUUCAUUUUUUAAAGUAAUACAAAAUCUCAAAUCUCGGGUCAAGGACCCUCCAAACGUAAAUGUUAUGUCAUCGAACUGAGUUAACAAUGUUGUGUUCCUACUGCUUUUGCUUUUAUUUACUAAUCCUUAUACUCAAGGAUGUUUUUCGUACUUAUUUAUUCCUCUGCUUAGCAUAUUGUGUCGAGACUAAAAACCUAUUCAAACCUCUCCUUCCUUCCUAUUCGAGACUACUUCAACCUCUCGCUUUAGUAGCUAAAGCAGCUUAUUUGAACCUCUCCAUUGACCGCUUUUAUUUACUAAUCAUCUUGACCGCUUUUAUUUACUAAUCUUGCUGUAUCUUCCGUUAUUAAAUGGAGUAUCUCCUCAACGUACAUUUAUUGUUUUAUCACAUAGUUAAUUAGAAAAGGGACAUCAUCAAAUAUAGUUAUGUUUAUUAGUGAUAUUACACAAACACUAGUAUAAGUCUAUUAGUGGUUUAUUAUUAAUAAAAUUUAAAAAAAAAAUUAAAUAUUUUCAAAAGUUUAAUGAUUUAUAGUAAUUUUUUUAUAAAAAAAAUGUAUAAGAAAUUUCAUAAAAAAAUGCGAAAUUAUUUCAAAAUAUGGUAUAAUUAUAUGUUUGAUCAAACCAGUAGUCUAUUGUUAAUGAAAUAAAUACCAAUUAGGAUACCAAAUAUUGGAGAGAAUGGAAGGGGAAGAGAAGAAGAAAAAACACCGCACAUAUCAGUAGACAAGAGACUAUAAAUUAAUAAAGAUCAUAAUGAAGCAUAAUUGCUUUAUUUAUUUUAUUUCAUUGCAUAAAAGUUUGCAUAUUGUUGGGUGGUAAGAGUAGAUGAGAGUCCAGCUUUAUUUUCCAUUCUCAGGAAGUACAGCUUCAAACUCUGGGAGACGUACUGCAGCCCGAUUAUUGAAAAUUACUUUAGCUUUGUAAGUCCAAACAAUUCCAAGUGAGUUUUUAGCUGAUAAGACAAGAGUGUAAACUAUUUGGAAACCCCUUCGUCCCUUUUCCAACCCAUUUAUCACCUUCACAAACUCCAGAUUUUCUCCUGUACUUGUUUCAUUAUGCAUUCUCACUGCCAUCCCUCCAAUUCCUUGUAUCUCCUCGCUAUCAACAUCCUUAAUUGGCACCGUAUCAUAGUCCGGAAGUUUGCUGACUGGCACCAGGGGAUCAACACCUGUAGAACUCAUUUUUGCUAAUAUAUACCAAGAUAGAUAGAUAUAUAUUUUCUUAAGAGUUGGUUUUGCUUUAUAAUAAUGGGAAGGAGUUGGAUAUUAUUUAUAGGUGUUGAACCUUAGAAAUUGAUAAUCUUUGAAAUAAUUAAUGGAUAAGGAUAUCAUAUUAAUAGGUGAAAACCACAUCUUUCUAUUGAAAAACAUAGCUAGCUAGUUUUUAUUGUCUUAAUUAAAAU